rnacentral:lncRNA from 1 species
CUCCCUUCACCUCCACCAGAUCUGGUACGACGACAAGGCUCCCGUCCACCUGACCACCCAGCACCCGAUAUUUUUCUGAUAUAUACAGACUACAUGCUUGCUGAAUUCUUCUUUAAAAUUUGUAUAUUAUAAUUUAUAAUUAUAAUUUUAUAAUAAUUUACACUACAAAAAAUCAGCGUAGUUCUCUCCUUAUGCUCUCUUUUUCGGAUAAACAGAGUUGUGGGUUUGACCAUCUUUGUUGCUUUUCUGUAUGAAUCCUUUGAGUCCCUUUUUGCUCCUUGUAUAAUUGUCAUUUUUCCAUCACUCUCCAAAUAUCUGAAGGUCUGAUCGUAGGAUGAAGGCACUGAUUUGAAGUCGUGCAUACUGAAUCUCCCUAGGAUUCCGUUAAACAGAGAGUUAAUGUCUGCUGCAAUAAAAUGUGUUGUUCUAGAAACUCUUCCUCUUCUUUCGUCCAAGGAUAUUUCUAAAUCGAUUGUUUCCACUACCGAGGCUUUGGUAUUUGUGAAAUCGUAAAUUGCCUCUUUAGCUGGUGUCAGCUUUUUUUUUUUAAAGCCCAUUUUCUCAAAGGCUGUCAGAUAUAAAAUAUCUACUGAGCUUCCAUUGUCUACCAUUACUUUGGUCAGAGUUAGGUUUGCUCCUACGUCUAUCUGAAUUACUAGUGUGUCCUCGUGAGGGUUUGCUAUGUAAUUCAGGUCCUUCCGAAAAGCUAACAUCCUCAUGUGGGUAUGCUAUUUUCUUUCGAUUAUUCCUCUCUGGUUGUGUGGUAGUGUGUAGGACUUUUCUUGUAUAGCUUCUGUUUUGUCCUACUGACCCUCCUCCGAAGAUAACAUUGAUGACCUUCUUUUUUUGGUCAUUGGGUUUGUCAUCUGGACUCUUUGAGCGCUCUCGCUUUCCUUUGUUUCUUGGAGGUUUGCAGCUUGUUUUUUCGUGAACCACAGCUACGUUCCCUUUUAGCCUCCCGGCUUUUGCCUGAGCUUCCAAGAAGGUACCCAUUUCUCUACAGGUGUUUGUCCCAUGACCGUAGUCCUUUUGGAACUCGCAGUAUCUCCGACCCUUCUCGCGGACCUCUCUAGUGGCGGGAUCUAGGGGAAUAGGCUCUGGGAACACUUCAUCCUUCCCUUUUCCCUGCCAUAUAUCUCUUAAUGGAAGGUGUUGAAAGGAUCAUUGGAAUUAUGGAACCUUGAUCUUCUAGGUUCCUCUUGUGUUUGAUAGACCCUGCUAUCAUGCCUAGGUUUCCAUAACGGCUCCCCCCCUUUUCGAAUUUUUCUUUUUAUGAUCGAAAUGCCCUUGUAGCAGACACUUUCUCUUUUUAUUUUUCUUCGGAGUUUAUGAACUUCUGAGCCUCAGCCAUCAGGUCUUCUAUGCUACUCACGGGAUUUACAUUUAAAUCAAUUGUUAGAGGGUUGUUCAUGUCUAAGCCGUUUGAGUAUGCGUAGAUUGCGAUGGUUAUGUUGAGAUCGGAAACCCUUUGCAUUGCCUCAGUGAAUCUGUUUAUGUAAUUCCUGAGGGUGUCAUUAUUCUGUUUUACUAAAAAUAAUGAGUCUGUUCCUUUUCUUACUCUUACAUUACCGUAGUGUUGAGCUAGAAACUUCUUUCUUAGGUCCAAAAAACUUUUAACACUCCUCGUUGGUAAAUCUGCGAACCAUCUGUAUGUGGUUCCUCUCAAGGUCCCCGAAAAAUCUUUACACAGUAUAUCAUCCCUUUCUGUUACCCAUUGCAUUACUCCCCUGAACAUAUUGAUAUGAUCUAUGGGGUCUUGUUUUCCAUCAUAUUCUGGAAACAUUGGUAAUCUGAAUCUUGGCGGUGCAGAUUUUACCAUCAGCGAGCUGUCUAAGAGUUUCAUGCCUUCGAACAGGGCUGGGUACCUUCGCAUCGUAUCCUCUGAAUCCCUGGUUCCCUCUGUGUGCGGGAUAUAGGAUUUGGUAUGGAUUUUUGGUUUCUCCCCCUUGACUUUUUGGUGGGAGGGAUUUAGACUGUGUCGAGUGGCUGCUCACCUUCUGCCUUUCUGAACCUUUCCCGGAGGGACGUGCUGAAGUCUGAUCCCUUGAAUGCUGGAUUGUGCGAGUCCUGCGUGUGGUCUCGCCUAUUUUUAAUCUUUUUGCCAUUCGAGCUAUGGUUUCUCUCUUAGUGAUCAGCUCUUCGAUUGAGAUUUGUAUCAAAGAGUGAUGACUGUUAGCAGGAAUAGAUGGGUCUUCAAUGUUUUGGACCCUUUCUUGUUGUUCGGGAAUCUUCUGUUGUUGUUCCCCUUCUAUUGACCCCGUACAUGGACAAAGCCCCACGGAUUUUGCUGUAUCACUAUCUCCAAUGGAAUUUAGUUUCCCAAGGGGACGGAUAUCAAUGGAAUUUGGUUUCCGAAGGGGAUGGAUAUCAAUGGAAUUUGAUUUUCUCCUUGCCCGUUGGUAGCAGCCGAAGCCCUCCUGUUGGGUUGUUCCUGGUGUUUUUCCCCUACGUACGAGCCCUUCCUUGUGUUGACCAUUUUGCAAUUUGGUCUGGAAAAAAUUGAGCCAAGGUGGUCGACUUAUGUAGAGAUCGACUUAGAAAAGUCGACUAUCACAAAUUCGACCCUGAGCACCGUGUGCAGAUUGGCAGAAAGUCGCUAUCGAGAGUCGAUCCUCUCAAAGAAGUCGAGCUAAUCUGGCAAGAAAGUCAAGCCUAGGGGUCGAUCCUCCGAAGAAGGACGAACUGAAAGUUGAGCCUGGGAAUCGAUCCUUCCGAGGUGGUUGAGCUAAUUGGUCCAUAAGUCGACCCUGGGAGUUGUUCCUCCGAGGAAGUCGAGCUUAGGGAAGUCGAGCCAAGGAGUCGAUCCUCCCAAGGCAAUCGAGAUGAGCUGGUCCAAAAGUCGACCCUGGGAGUCGAGCCUCCUGAGGAAGUCGAACUGAAGGACUGAAUUUGAGUUGUUUGAAACUGAUUUGGCCGUGACUUUUCGAAAAAGUCGACCAGCUUUCUUUUUUGUGAGUAUCUUAAAAUCACAAACGACGCUAACUGAUAAGGGUGGAACCCGAUCAGUGCUCGGACGACGCUUCGAACAAGCGUUGGGCACUUUCUGACAGGGGUUCUCUCUCACUCCAAACAACCUAACCUCUAAUGAGUGGUAGUGUCUCCUAUUUAUAGGGUUCUUAUGGGGUAAUCUGGUCAUUAGGGCUCUAAUUGCCUAACCGUCCAGAUCUGGCUCGGGUCGACUUUAUGAGGUCGGCUUCCUUAGGGUCGACUUUUAGCCCUUGACCUCCUUAGAGGUCGACUUGGAAAAAGUCGCUCUGCAGGGUCUAUUUUCCUCAUAAAGUCGACUGGGGCUUCCCAUUGCCUAUACGGGUACUUGCCACCCAUUUCGGGUUAUCUCAAUCUGGUGUCGUGAUCAAGUCCAGGAUACUGUAUCACCAAUAGUUGUACAUAAUGUUUUAACCAAGUAUUAUAUAAUGGUUCACUCCCUUAUGUAUAUCAAAGUAUAUCCUAACCCAUAUUCCUAUUUAUGGCAUAGAUAAUUGUGCAUGACAUUUUAACAGAUUUAAUUCAUAUGCAUAGAUAGAUUAAUUUAUCAGCCGACAGUGCAUGCAUGGUACAGUUCAUAGAAUUUUCGAUUAAUGAUGAGACUGUAGAUAUAUCUGUUUCAUCAUUUCCAGUAUUUAACUAUAAACCCUAGUUGACGAAUUAUUUAAUACUCAUAUAUAUGAUUUUGAUGAGUAGAUAAUUCUAAACCUAAUUAUCGAUAAUAGUCAUUUAAUCAAAACUUAGGGUUUAAUGUAUAAUUUGUAGAGUAAGUCUAUCCUUAUGAUUUUAAUUGAUGUGAUCAAUUUGAAUUGAAUUAAUCAAGAUAGAAUUAGUUAUAAUCACUAUAUGCAUUAAAAAUUUAGAUUCUGCAGGACCCUGCCACAAAAGAAGCCCGGGUAAGAGCAAACAGAUAUUGCAAGUUUUACAAGGACCACAAGCAUUAUACUGAGAACUGUAGAAAAUUGAACACGUUCCUGGAUACCCAGGUAAAGAUGGGUAAGAUCAAAUACUACAUUAACAGAGUCCAAGUAGGAAAAACCAAGCAAGGGUGUAAACAAUUGACACAUGACUGCAUACCAGUCAUUCCCGUCAAUAGGGACUAGAGUUCUGUUCACUAUGUCAAACCCCUGGAAGGCUCUCACGAAAGAAGAAUUAAAAGUCUUCGUCGAGACUGGAUUCGACUCUCCAAAUCGUUGAGUGGGGUGGCAAAUCGCCAAGUUGUAGAGAAGAUCGUCAGAGUCUGACAGAUUGUCGAUCUUCCCUCUGAACUCGCUGAUUUCAUAACCAAAUCGCCGAUUUGGACUGUUACUCAUAUCCAGAUCGAGCCAUAAAGGUCGUAGAGGUUGCCAUUAUGGCCGGACACGAUCUUCACCGUGGAUUACGCUCCCAGUGGUCCUAUAAAAGGGGAGAAACCAAAAAACAGAUUAUAAAUUCUCAGUCUAAAUUCUCUGCACAUUAUGCCCACACAUACAUUAUUAUGACCUGCAGAGAAUUUUUCGUCACAAUUAAAACAGAGGCCUUUGCUUCUUUUUUCUGCCCUCUCUGUGGCUGACAGUCUUUUAGUUGUAAUUAUUUUACUUAUUUGGCCAAUGGUUGAAUCCAUCUUGUUCUGAAUAGGGGCUGAAAUUGCAUUGUUUUUUGUGAAAGGUUUAUGGGCAUAAGGUUUGUAGAUUGGUGCCUUGCUAUAACCCCCUCUUUUUGUUUCAAUCAUUAAUGAUAAUUUGAAUGCUUCAUGUAUGUCAUUUGGUUUCCCCAAUACCACAUUUGUUUGGAUUUCUUCUUUCAAGCCCGAUAUAUACAUCUCGAGUAUAAAAUACUCAGGUAGACCUAGGACCCUUGUGAACAUCUCUUGAAACAUAUUUUGGUAUUCUGCUACUGUUCCUUCCUGAAUCAGUUUACUCAGUUUACCUCCGGGCAAUUGAUAGUGUAGAGUAGUAAACUUUCUUAUAACAGCAUCUACAAAAUUUGGCCAAGUAGACAGCAUAUUGCUUGCUUCUAGCCAAGCAAACCACUUCCUAGCAAUGCCAUCCAGAUUGAAUGAUACAAUUAAUAAUUUUUGAUCCUCUGGAACUGUAUUAAAUAUAAAGUAUCUUCUUACUGAAUACAGCCAGUGCUCUGCUUCAGUGCCAUCGAACCUCGGCAUGUUAACUUUAAUGAGCUUGGCCGGAGUAUAACUUGGAUCUUCUAGUAUUGAUAAUGCAUAACUUGGUUUGUCCAGAUCUACCACCGAUUGGUAGUGAUUUAUCUGUUUUCUUUCUUUAUCAGGUGGUUUUUCAGGAAUUACUUCAUCUUUUGGAUCAUUCAUCCUUGAGUAUAAAUCAGUAAGUUGUUUACCUAGUUGUAAGAAAUUGUUAUUAACUGAAUUACUCAGUUCUCCUAUAUCCUUGAUCUGGUUCAUUUGCAAUGUUUGCAAUCGGACAAAGUCUGGAUUAGUUGAUAAAUCUAUAUUGUUUGCCAUCUGCAGAUUCAAGAAGAAAAAACAAGUUCACUUAAGAAAGCACCAAAUGAUACGACCUAAAUCGGAUCUCUACUGUGAAACAAAUUCACCUGUAGAUUUGGUGUGCCCCAGAUCCGAGAAUUGAAUCACGGAUAUCCGAGACAGAGCGCAGCGGAGCUAAACUCCUGAUAUCGAGUCUUAGCGUCCCAAAAUCGUUGCUGUUAAGCAGAUUUUGGUUGGUGCUCAAUUCGGCGAUGGACUACAGCGGAUGAUCAGGACCGACAAUCAGAGCAAGCGCCGGCAACGUAGGAAACGAGGAUCGCGGAAUGGAAUGGAGGGUACUCGACGGAUUGCCGGCAGUGAGAUCGGGAAUGUGGACGGAUUUUUGUUGUAUUAAAAUUUGAUUAAAAAAAACCUUUACAGAAAUAAAAACUAUUUAUACCUAUUACAACAUUUAUGAAAUUGAAAAUACUUAAGGUCUCUUAAACAAUUUUCCCAUGAAUAAAUUUAGGGCUAAAUCCCUAAAUCAUAAUCCCGCGUCCAGUUGGGCGCGCAGUUUACUCUGGAGGUCCUCCUUGCUGAACCCGGUUUGGAGGAGUUAAACGAACUCCGCUCGCCGCUGUCUUCCGUCUCCUUAGUUCAUUCCUCAGCGGCAGAUUCCACUAUCUUCUCAACGUCGGCUCUAAUCCCAGCUUCAUCAACCAACAUCAUCGCAUAAACCCCGGGCUCAAUCCAAAGGCAUCAGUUCUAUCGAUUCUAGAACGUGAUUCACGGAGCAAUCGUCGAUUUGAGCACUAAAUUGUUAAUUUCCUCUUGGAAGACUUGACACAGAACGCACGUCGUGGAUCUUAGAGCUUCCGGCACGAGAAGAUAGCCUCUGACACCACCGCGAGCGUUGAUAGGAUUUUCCGUUUCGUCAUCAUAACAUUGUUGUAAAGCUUAUUUUUUGAACGUCAUCAUCAAACAAUAGCACUUUUUCAUAUUGUAUUAUAGCUCAAUUAAUGUUGAUGUGAUUAGAUGUAUAUGGUGGUGUAUUUUUAGGGAUAGAGUUCUGACCUUGAAUGUCAGGUCACACUCAUGAAUUUUGCUUUCAUCAUUAUUUUUUUUAAGCGUUACACUUUCCUUCAAACGACGGCUAACAAAAAUCUUCUCUUCCUCCCAUGUCAGGUAUGUGUGCGAUCUUUGCUUUUAUGAAAUUUUUAUUUCUCCCUCUUACUUCGAUGAUGUUCACUGACGGCUGUACUUAAUUAAUAUCAAAUAUUACAUGAAGAAGCAUGGGUACACACAUCGAACUUUAUCCUCUACCACUCUUCUUUACUAUAAAUAUCUACACCUUGCUCAAGCUUUUACAAUGUUCGAACAGUUGUAAAUAUAAGGAAUUGUCUGACAGUUAUAAAAGUCUUAGUAUUAUUCAUUAGAUAUUAGAAUAUAUUGCAUGCCCUGAACAACGCACCUGAAGUGCGCCCUAAAUAAUUAUUGCAAUUCAGAAAGACCAUCAAGACUUCAUAACUAUAAAUAAAAGAGUACUUAACAUUUAUAUUGGAUCAUCACUCUCACUUUAUUUGAAUAACGAUCUAUUUGUCAUGUUCAAAUAUAUAUUUGUAGUCCUUAUAGUCGAGUUCCAAAUCAUCCCUCCACCAUUGACUGAGUGCAUGAGAAGAAUUGUCAAGCUUACUAGUAUUUGUAAUCAAACGUCCCGACAACAACAAAUUGGUUGAGUGUUUGUCGACUUUCCAAGAAAUCCUACAGAGAUUUCGUUUCCCUUUCCUGAAUAUGAUACCUGGCAUCUUAAGUUUGAACUUUUUUUGAUUUUCGAAGUAACCUAUGAAUCCAUUGCAUAUCAAAUCAUUUGGAUUAACAAAAAGAUCGAUGUGGAAUCCAUUCUUGUAUAUUUUUGAAGUCAUUACUAUCAUCCUCCGCUUUCAUCAUCAGUGGUCUAAAUAAUACAUCUGCAGUGUUUCUAAUGCCCGCAAUUACAAAAUUAGGCAUUGUGAGAUUCUUAAAAUAAGGUAUUCGGAGAUUAUUCGUGUCCUCAUUAUAUUUAGUAAAUGGAGGAUUGAAUAGGAACGAUUUCAAGUAGAUUCCAUUAGUUUAUGCGAUGCUCAGACCAAGGUAAGUGGCAAUCGUAGCACCUAAAGAAUGUCCGACGAACCAGAUUUUGUGUCUAUUUUCCAUCUUUUGAUCAAUUAACACAUCUUUGACCGUUUCGGUUGAUGUAGACACACGAUUAGAACAAGAAAGUCUCUCAAACAACAUUUGCAAAUCGUGCCAAAUAUCACGAGAAUCAUCUGUGCCUCUUAAUGCAAUGACAUAUGCAGGUGCUUCUUCUAGAGACAAGAAGUGACCAUUAUUUGUUUUGGCCUUGGAAUCAUCGAAUUUGAAAAUGAAUCCAUGGACCUUAGAAAAUGACUACAUGAGGUCCAUGUGGAUUUCGAAAUUGAAGGAUUUAUACCAUGGUUGUGCUAGCUUUUGCUCUUUGCUUCGAACAUAGACAGCCUUUACCCGACAAGCCAUUACGAUCCUUCGAUGGUCAUCAUUUUUCCUAGAGAAACAAAAAACAACAAAUUUAGAAAUUAAUUCAAUAUCUUCACAUGAUUUAUUUGACAAGAAAUAUAGGAACCAAGAGAGUGAAGAGAGACAUAGGUAAAUAUUAGUCAAUAUAAAAAAACAUUUACCAAUCAAUUGCGUGAAAAUAUCAAGAUUUAUCGAACAUAUCAAGAUAUUCAGUUGCCAUGGAUCCUAUUUUUUGAAUGACAGAUGAGUGAUUUUCAACACCUAUCGCACAAGGAUAUAUAAUGGAAAUUCAGCAAGACCAGAGAAGAAACAAUCAAUCUUGACUCAACGACUUCAAAUGUCUGUCCAUCGAGAUCCAUGCAAUACGCGUGCUUCAAUUAUUUAUUGAUAAUGUAGGCAGAAAUUGCAUGUACAAAUUAAACUGGUCAUGUGACUUGGUUAUGGAUCAUUGAGCCGUAGUUAAUUAUGAGACUUGGUCAUGAGAAGAUCGAGUUAAUAAUUCAUCCACAAGACCAAUUUAUUUUUCAAAACUCAAAAUGACUAAUCUAUUAUUAUUUUAAAAUGACUAAUCUAUUUGUCAUCUUGACCACUUGACCACCCAGCACCUGACAUUUUUCUGAUAUAUACAGACUACAUGUUUGCUGAAUUCUUUUUUAAAAUUUGUAUAUUAUAAUUUAUAAUUAUAAUAAUUUAUAAUUUUAAUUUUAUAAUAAUUUAAUUAUAAAAUUGUUUAUAAUUUGCAGGGUAGUCAAGACGGGUCGGCCAAGAUCCACCACGUUCCGAUCGAGUUCGAGGUAAGAACCGGAAUAGGGGAAUUCUUUAAUAUUUUAUUCUCCAAAAAACAAAUUUUAUGCCUCUUCCAAAUCGAAGUCCAUCAUUUUUGUAAAAAGUUUACUUAUUAAUUUAGAUAUUAAUAGUAAAAAGUCCACAAUAAUAAUAAAAGUUCAUCAUGGAGGAUAAAAAACGAAAUUCUUUGCAGCUAUAAUUAGGAAAAGAUAAUCACAUAAUUCGCUCUAUAAACUCAAGAAUAGAUAUGGAAGAGAAAUAUUAUUCAAGGACAGAGGGGACGGCAUGAUUAGGCCGAGGAGAGCUUUCAAGAGAUAGGUCACGUCGGUAGAGAAUCUAGAUUUUAUGAGAAUGUCAGAAUACCAAGAGAUCCAAGAUACAGUAUUCCACCUGAACUCGAAAAAAGUCCAAGGCCGGAUGGGUUCAACGUUAAGUUCUUUCAAGAAUCAUAGGAAGUCAUAACCCCAUAUAUUGUGCAUGUUUAGUUGGUGAUCUAUGGGGAACGAUGAUGACCCAAAGAAUACCAUGAAGAACAAACGAUUGUGGAGUAGAUAUAGUAUGAGUAGAGGUAGAUUUUGGGCAAACAAUCUCUUGAUUGUGCCUUUAUUAUGAUGGGGUAUUUAUAUACAAUUGAAUAUAACAAACCCACAAAGUAUGAGUAGGGUUUGUUAUAUUUGUUACAAUUUGUAUUGUAUUAAAUAUAUAUCUAUAAUUCUUUAUAUAAUAUAUAUUCCAAUAUUCCCCCUCAAGUUGUUGUUUGAGAAACUACGUCGAGCUUGGAUCUUAUUUCAAGAAAUCGUGACGAGGGUAAUGACUUGGUGAAGCCAUCUACUAUCUGAUCUCUUGUAGAGAUAUGAGUGACGUGUAUUUCUCCAUUUUUGACUAAUUCUCGCACGAACCCAAAAUUGAUUGUCAUAUGUUUCAUUCGAGAGUAGAACACAGGAUUGUGUGCUAAAUAUUUAGCUCCAAGAUUAUCUGUCCAUACUUGAGCUCGUGUAAUUGGUAUUAGUCGAAUCUCCUUUAGUAAAUUUCGAAUCCAGACUAUUUCUGACGUUGCAUCAGCCAUAAUGCGAAACUCAGCUUCUGUGGAAGAGCGUGCAAUAGUGGGUUGUUUCUUGGCUGACUAAGAGACUAAAUUAUUUUCGAUGAAUAUAGCGAAUCCUCCCGUACUACGUCGAUCAUCUAGGCAUCCUGCCCAAUCUGCAUCGGUGUACACAUCUAUUGUGAUUGAGGCUGAUGGUACAAGCAAUAUUCCAUAUAAAGCCAUACCUUUAAAUAUCUCAGUACUCGUUUUGCCGCUGCCCAAUGAACUGUGGUUGGAUUUUGGAGAUAUUGACACAAUUUAUGUACGGAAAAUGAUAUAUCGGACGAGUAUUUACCAAGUAUAAUAGUGCCCCUAUUGUCGAUCGAUAUAACAACUUAUCUUCCAUGGGAACUCCGUCAGUCGCAGUCAACACUGUAGAUGCAGAUUUUGACUUGUGCAUAUUUGUUCGGCGGAGCAGAUCACAGAUGUACUGAUGUUGAGUUAGAACGUAACCACCAGUAGUACCUACCGGAGUUAGUUCCAUUCCUAAGAAGAACUGCAGCUUUCCCAUAUCCUUGAGUCUGAAUUCCUUAGACAACGUGUCAAUCAACUGUGUGAUGUCUGAAGCUGAAGACCUAGUCACCACUAUGUCAUCCACAUAAAUCAGCAUAUAGACAUGAGAAUUUCUUGUAACUCGCAAGAACAAAGAUGCAUCUGAUGCGGUACUUACAAAACCAAUCAAUUUUAAAAAAUUACUCAGGCGUUCGUACCAUGCUCGAGGAGAUUGCCAGAGCCCGUAGAGUGACUUGUGAAGUCUGCAUACCUUGAUCAGAUGAUGUUUAAUUGUCUACAAACCUUGGGGGUUGUGUCAUAAACAUAAUUUCCUUGAGGUCUCCAUUUAAAAAUGCGUUGUCGACAUCAAGCUGAAGAAGUUGCCAACCCUUGGAUAUUGCGAGUGCUAGCAUGAUUCUGAUAGUUGGAAACUUCACUACCGGACUGUAUGUUUCAUCGAAAUCAAUUCCCUCGACUUGUGAAAAACCCCGUGCAACUAGACGUGCCUUUCGUCGUUGGAGACUGCCAUCAGAUCCUCUCUUGACCUUCAACACCCAUUUACAAGUGACUAAGUUCGCAUUUUGAGGAAGGUCCACCAAGGACCAAGUGUGAUUUAGUAUCAGUGCACCAAACUCAACUUCCAUGGCCUAGAUCCAUUCAGGUGAUUUGGACGCCUGUCGGACUGUAGUUGGUUCUGAAAAGUCAUCAACUGCAAGUGACGUGGCUUCCAAUUCUGCCAGUCUCCGAUAAUCAACUCGAGGAAUAUUCCGUUGGGGUCGAUUAUUAGGGGCUGGGAGACUUAUACUUGCGGAUUCAUCUAAGCCUUAACUAGUUGGUAGCGAAUUAUUCAAACUUCCAGUACCGUAUACCGUUGGUGACACUGUGGGCCCCACCAGAGUUGAUAAACCAGGUGAUUCUGGACUAGACCGAGGAUUAUGAGAAUUUGACCUUUCAGUCAUAGGUGUAGCCGAAUCUGAUAGAUGAACCGAAAGCAACCCUCAUGGGCCUGACUGAUGACUUGUUGAUGUACCUUGGGGUACCUGUAAUUUUGCAAAUGGGAAGGAGUUUUCGAAAAAAGUACAAUGACACGAAAUGUAUAAUUUUUGAGUUGGUGGAUCAAGACAAAUAUAUCCCAUAUGAGAUGAGCUAUGUUCGAGGAAAAUGUAAGAAGUAGAGCGAAAAACAAACUUAUGUUGAUUAUACGGUCUAAGAAGUGGAAAGACCUCACACCUGAACACUUUUAUUUAGGUUGGAUAUUGAAUAAUUUUUGAAGUGGUGGGGUCCCAUGAGUUUUGGAUGUAUGUGAUUUAUAGCAAAUACACCUAUAGAAAAAGCAAAAUUCCAAUAUGAUGAAGGAACACUACCAUGAGCGAGAAGUGUUAGACCAGUGUUCACUAUAUGCCUGAUCUUCCUUUCUGCCGUGCCACUUUGUUCAUGAGUAUGUGGACACGACCUUCGGUGAUGAAUUCCAUGAGAGGUGAAGUAUGUGGUGAGAGCUUGGAAUUCAACACCGAAGUCUGAUUGAAAAUAUUUUAUUUUAUGUCCGAUUUGUUUUUCCACCAUAAUAUAAAAUUUCUGAAAGAUGCCUGCAACUUCAGAUUUAUGUUUGAUAGAGAAAAAUCAGAUAAAUCUAGAAAAAUCGUCAAUAAAAAACACUAAAUAUCUUUGUCCAUUAUAGGAAGAGACCGGGGCAGGGCCCCACACAUCAUUAUGAAUGAGUUCUAACGGACAUGUGGAUUUAGAGUAAGUCGAGACGAGGUGGUUACGACUUGUCUUGCCUAACACACAUGACUUACAUUUAUUGAAUUUGGAAAUAACAGAAGAAAAAUGAUUUGACAAAACUACAUGACGAAGGAUCGACUCAUUGGGGUGACCCAGCCGUUGAUGCCAGACAUUCAGAUUAGCUUGAGUCGAAUGAAGGAUUGGUAGUGGAUUCGGAACAAUCUUGUAGAGGGAUCCAUCAUGUUGUCCUUGAAGGAGUACCUUGUGAGUAAUUCAGUCCUUCACAAAGACACGAAAAGAGUCAAACACAAAAUAACAGUUAUUAUCCCUACAAAAUUGCUGAACGGAUAAUAGCGGAGUUUUAAGUGAUGGAACAUGUAGAAUAUUGCGUAAUGAGAAAAGAGAGGAUCCACUUGCAAAAUUACCAUCCCCCAAGUGUAGGAUAUGAAGUUGGGUCCCAUUACCUAAUUGAGCGGACCUGGGUCCCUGAUACGGCAUUGGAGAUGGGAUUGACUGGAUGUUUGGAGUAAAGUGGUGUGUCGCUCCAGUGUCUGGGUACCAGACUGCCAUGUCAUGUUGAUCCAGGUCACUUGUCGAAAAAUAUGAAUCUGCCAUUUGAGUAUUAUUUGUCGCGGGCUACCUAAAAUUAUUGGAAUUUUAUUGCUGGACCGGGACUGGAUAAUAUUGGGCUGAUUGUAUUGGAGAAUUAAUGUAUUGGGCUUGGGCCAUAUUCGUUUGGGGAUUUAAUGUAUUUGGGAAAUUUACGUUGUUGACUUGGGGAUUAUUUUCUUGGGCCGGAUUUGGAUUAGGGUUUUGGUAGGGGGUUACGCGAUAUUGACAUUUAUAUGGGUUGUGACCCAUGCCUCCACAAACCGGGCACGGGUAUCGGCUAACUUGGGCAACCCUACCCCUAUUUCUUUUCCCCAAAUUUGUAUUUCGGCCUCCGUCGCGCCCCCUGCCUCUGGCGAAACUCGAAGCCAACGAUGAAAAUGAUCCUCCCGCCGAUCCGUAGUUUGUUGAAGUCUGGUUCAGCGCGGGGAUGGACUGGGACAUCUUCAGCCGGAUCUGGUGGCUGGACAUGAUCUCCAGAAGUUCGUCGAAGGCCACCGCCGACUGCCGGACUGCCAACGCCGUCACUGCCUCGCCGAAGUCCGGUCCCAGGUUGUUGUAGAUCGUCUCAUUGAAGAUGCGAGUGGGAACAGAUGCCCCGGCUGCUGCCAUUUCGUCGGCAAGUAGCUUGGCUCGCCGGAAAAUACCAUGACAUCCUCGCCGGCGGCAUGUCUGUUGUUUUGCAGCUGCAUCUGGAGCUGGAGGAUUCGCGACUCAGAUGGUCGCCCAUACGACAUUGCCAAAGUGUCCCAGAUUGCAGCGACAGAUUCCAAUCCCAAUACUGUGGGAAGCACCUCCUCCGGCAGGGAGGAUAAAAUCCAACUCACCAACAGUUGGUCCCUACGCCACCAAGUCAUAUAGAUUGGGCAUUGUAGAGAAGGCGUAGGUGGAGGGGUUGAUUUAUCAAUCAGAGAUUUCAUAUCGAAGCAAUUCAGUAACGGAUUGAAUUGCAUCCUCCACAAAAGAUAGUUCGUUGCCGAUAGUUUGAUGUGGAGGAAAUUUUGGAUGGAUCCAAAAGAUGGGGAUCCAGCCAAUAUUUGUUGAGGGAGUAGUGCUAGAUUGGAUCCAUUUGGAUCAGCAACUGCCGGGAUCAUUAAUGAAGGAUGAUCAACCGGUAUCGAGGAAUGCAGCGGAGUUGUGUUUGAUGGAGCCACAGGAUCGAUAUUGGCGGAUGAUACCAUGUUGAGUUGGUGAUCUAUGGGGAACGAUGAUAACCCAAAGAAUGCCAUGAAGACCAAACGAUUUUGGAGUAGAGAUAGUAUGAGUAGAGGUAAAUUUUGGGCAAACAAUCUCUUGAUUGUGCCUUUAUUAUGAUGGGGUAUUUAUAUACAAUUGAGUAUAACAAACCCACAAAGAUGUGAGUGGGGUUUGUUAUAUUUGUUACAAUUUGUAUUGUAUUAAAUAUAUAUCUAUAAUUCUUUAUAUAAUAUAUUCCAAUAGUGCAUGCUAUUCAAUCCAUCUUUGCGGGGGAAAACCUUCUAUUGGAGGUCAACUACACCUUUGUGACAUUGAUACAAAAAAGGAAAAUGCAUCGGAUCUGGCGGAUUUCAUACCGAUAUUGUGUGUCAACACAAACUACAAGGUGUUAUUGAAAAUCAUCACAACAAGAUAGUUCUCGGUAGUACAGAGAAUAAUUAUCCUGAAGCAGACUGUCUUUUUGAAAGGACGUCUGAUAAGAGAUAAUUAUGCUUUGGCGACCGAUAUGAUAACUGAGUUUGGACAGGCCGCCUUGGCAGCCCGAGCAUGCAAUAAGGUUGACAUUUCAAAUUAAAAGCCUAUGAUACAGUGGCUUGGAGGGCACUGAGGGGUACACUAAAAGAUUUAGUAUUCAGUGAAUGGGUUAAUAAGUAAUGAGAAUGGUAAAGUCGACAUCUUUUUCAGUUUAUGUUGAUGGAGCCCCCAUGAGAGUCUUCAGUAGUGGUAGAGGACUGAGACAAGGGGACACACUAUCCCCUUAUCUUUUCACUUUACUCAUGAAAGAUUUCUCGGAAGCCAUCGAGGAGAGUAUAGAUAGGAAGGAAAUACAGAAAUACGUGAUCCAAGGAGCACUAUCUGUGUCACACCUCAUUUAUACUGAUGAUCUAAUGGUCUUCUGUAAGGCCAAAAGGAAGUCAUUUUUAUCUGUGAUGAAUGUACAAGACUAAAUGUGAACAAGGUGAAGAUCUAAGUGUUCUUUUCCCAUGGGACCCCCGAGGUUUCGCAACUGACAGGGAUACUGGGAAUGUCGAUAGGACAAUUCCCCACGAGUUACCUUUGUCUCUCACUGAGCCCAACGAUCCUCAGGCCGAGGGAUUGUUGUAGAUUGGUAAAGGUGGCCACUUUUAUGGUCGCAAGAUGGAAGGCUCGCCUUCUAUAACAUGCAGGGAGACUAUAGUUAUUUCAUUGUGGCAUAGCCGGUAAUCUUAUAUUUUGGUGUUUGAUAUGUAGGUUACCGAGUGAGAUACUGAGAUCAUUGCAGAGCCUGACAUACAUAUUCUUAGACGAGAAGAAGGAGGUCAGUUGGGACCAAAUUAAUGACGUUACCAAAGGCUGAGGGUGAAAUUGGUUUCAGACGAUUCGAGGGCACAAUUACGGCAUCAGUAAUGAAGAGAGUAUAGAGGAUCUGGAACGCAAAGGAUUCUAUUUAUGUCAGAUGGAUACGCGAGAGGUAUGUCAGAGGAAGGGCACUUGCAGAUAUUCAGAGACGCAGUGGAUUUGACUCACCGGCAUGGUUAGAGAUUGUGGACAAGAGGCAUAAGAUAAGCAGGGGCAUGACUUGUGACUUAUGGGGAGGAUUACAUAUGCACGUACAUGGUCAGGGAGUGGCACAGGCUUCACAUUUAAGAAUGCAUGGGAUACAAUCAGAAAAAGGAGACCAUGUAUUUGUAACGGAAAUAGCAAAGUUAACGGAAAUUCCGUUACAAAUUCCGUUAACUUUGAUAAUAAGUAUUUGUAACGGAAAUUUCGUUAACUUUGCUUCGUCCGAACUGCCUACUUUUUUUGUAGUGCCAAGGGAAGACAGAGCAGCAAGGAUAUGAGCAUCGGGUGUCAACAAAUAUGCUAUGACGAUGUGGAGGGCCAACCUUCGGAAGACCACGAAGAACCUAAGGAGUGCUGGUUGUGCACGACAGAGAUGGAGAGCUUCGACCAUAUAUACUUCGGAUGCAGUUAUUUCAGAGAUCUAUAGAUGGUUAUGGAGGCAGAUCCGUAGACAUAUAUGUGAAUUUUUGACACCGACAGAUGUAGGGAUCGAAUCAUAUAUGGACUGGGCAGACACGAGAACACGACGAUCACCUGCAUGGGGCAUGUGUUGGACUAUACUUGGGUCAACCACAUGGGCAAUUUGGGGUGAGCGUAACCGGAGGAAGCAUGAGAGAAGAUCUUUAAUGGUAUCAAAGUUGGCAUGACGUAUAGCUUUGGAUGUGCGUAUUGUUUAUAAUAGAUUUAGAUUUAAAUAUAAAAACUGAACUAUGGAGGAUAUGUUAUUUGUUGUAUGGGAUAGAGGGGUUACCCAAAAUAACCACCCAACAUAUGUUACUUAGUAGUGGGUCCGAAUCCCAAAUUGAUUAUGGUAAGAUACCUGAGGAGGGACCAAAGAGUCUGGUUGGGGAUCGUUCCUUAGGAAUGAAACUCUUUUGGGGUGAACGAGUGGCGGUGGCUAUUCUAUGUUUUCCCCACGUCUGACUAGUCGACUUAGUUGAUUGCUGACGAUUUCGACCCUUGCCUUCUUUCGGGGAGGAGGGGAAGGAGGAUGUCCUUAACGGACUAUGGUCGUGUCGGAGUGUCGGGUCCUCGGAUGGACACAAGCACAUGGUGGGUGGAAGUGUAUCCCAAUCUUUUUAAAGGGUUUAUGAAACCGAGAUGAGAGGGAGGAGGUGUGUGGAAACCUGAGGUUAGAAAGAUGAGUUUUUUUAGAGAGUGUACGAGUUGUCUUUGUUUUUAUUACGAUUUUUGUUAAUUACAGCCUUCGGGCGUGUCUCUAUAUGAGACAAGGUUCAGCAUGGUUCACUGUCACGUGGUGUACCAUUUUUUUUAAGUAUAUAUUUAUCACGAUUUUUAUUCAAAUUUUUUUAGGAUUUUAUGUACAUUACAAUAGAUAUAUUUUAUUAACAAAAACCUUACAUGUUUCAUAAAUUUAAAUAUGUUUAUGGACAAUGGAUAAUGCAACUGAAAGAGUAGGUUAACUUACAGUCAAAACAUAGUUAAUGAAUUUAUUACUUAUAUUAAUAUUCCAAGUUGAUUGAUUAUUUACCCAAUUUCAAGUUAUCUACAUGUUCAACUGUCUUUUUUUUCUCUUCGUGUCAUGAUGCAUCAAUGACAUCCUCAUCCAUCACACCAUUCUAUUUUUCAAAACUAGCUUGUAUCAUGGACCAAAACCUGACACCCUUAAUUCGAAAUUUAUUAAUUUGAAGUGACCAAUCUAUUUGUUUACGUACACUAACUCCCCAAUACGUCAUCUUAUUACUUUAUGGCAAUAGCAAUGGAUGCAAUUUUGGAUUUUAUGUACAUUAUAAAUUUAUAUUUUGGAUGUUAUGUACAUUACAAACCUUUGGGAAGUGAAGGAUCUAAUGACGUCUUCCGUUAUCUUUCUUUUAAACUUGUGUGUUCUGAAUCUAGACUUGUGUACUCUUUUAUUUCUUUCGGACCAUAAGGCCCAGAACAUUGCAGCAAUGAAAACUCAUGUAUUACCUCAUUCAUCAUAUUUUCUAAGGAUUUUCUAUUUUCGGGUUUCUUUAUCCUAAUAUAUUCCUUGACAUCUUUGGAGUAUUUGCAUUGAAAGAACACUUGUUCUUGUGAUUCCCACGGUCCUCCACAAAGGAUUAAUUCAUAUCAUCCAUGUGCAUUCUCCCUGCUUAAUCUUCCUUCAUUGAUAAUUUUCCCCAUCUCUCUCUCCACAUUGUGAUGCAAAAAAAUUGCGCACUAGCUAGUGGCCCAAACGUUUGUCAAUUUCCUUUUUAUUUUUUAAAGAUAUUCCAUAUAUUUUUGAAGGAUAUAUGUGUUCCCCUCCCAACUAGGGGUGGACAUGGGUCGGGUCCAGGUAGCACUUUAUGAUCCCAAGAUUAGCUCUGGGAUAGUUCUGGGGUAGCUCUGGAGUUAUCCUAGAGUAGCUCUGGGGUAACUAUGGAAUAGCUCCUGAGUAAUCCCAUAUUAGCUCCGGAGUAGUUUGUGAGUAGCCCGAAAGUAACUCCAGAGUAAUUUCCGUCGAAUGAUAGAAGCUCGAGAGUAGUGUCAGAUAUAAAAUUUCUAUUAUCCGAAAUAAAUGUAAUGAACGAGGUUUGGAAAUUCCUAUUUGUUGGUGUGAGGGUUCGCCGGAGCUAGCUCACCGUCCAACCUAGUACAAGUCUCUCUCUCUCAGAAUUAUCAACCCCCUCCCCAGUUGGACCAGGGGAGGUAUUUAUAGCCUUCACUUGCUGUUCUUGGGCCUCGUGGGCUCGUGCGUCGGGCCCGUCCGUCCGUCUGGGCCGACCGGGCCGGUUCGGUCCAUGGGCCGCGGUCCGCGGUCCAUGGUACCAACACUAUUAUUGUCAAAUUUGACCAAGAAGAAAUAUAAAAUUUACACUAAAAUGGAAGUAUCAUACCAUGAAUUAGACAAGCAGAUGUCCUUCAUUAAAUUCAGUAGUAGAUGUGAAAAUUAAUGUAUAUUUUAAAAUAGAAACUAGCCUGGUAUAAAUGUUCAUAUAUCCUUAAAAAAAAUAUGUAUGAAAAAGCUAUGAUUUGGGGGUUGCUCUGAAGGAAUCCCAGAAUAGUUAUUUAAUUGCUCUUUAGGAACACUAGAGUAGCUCUAGAAUAGUUUUGUAGUAGCUAAGGAGUUACGUUAGGGUAGCUCUUGGGUAGCUCCUGAGUAACACGAAAGUAACUCCAGAGUAAUUCUUGUCUAAUUCUUAUUAUCCGAAUUAAAUGUAAUAAAGGUGGUCGAACUUCCUAUUCAUUUUCGUCGAAUUUGAAGAACAAAUAUGAAAUUUACAGUAAUAUUUAAAGUAUCAUACCAUUAUUUAGACACGCAAGAUACACUGAUUUGAAACCCUAAAUUUUAUAGAAAAUGCAAACAUAUACAUGAUAACAAGAGGCUUAAAUAUACAUACUUAAAGGAAUUGAAAUGUAAUUAAAAUAAAUGAAGAAAAAAAUUAAAAACAUAUCGAGGAUGUGAUGAUUACCAGAUUUUUAACGAUGCGGCGAGGAUUUAGAUGGUCGCUGAAACUAAGAAAUAUUAAUUUAUUUAUGAAAGAGGUGCCAUAGAUUCCCUAGUUGCAAUCAUUGCUUCCAACGGAACAGCCAUAGGAAGGGUGAGUCCAUGCCCUUCUGUCAUAUCCACGUCAAUAUAUCCAACUCUCUCCCAUUCGAAGCAUUGGAUUAGAGAUGCUAAUGUCAGACCUAUCAUUUUCAGAGCCAGCGUCUCUCCCGGGCAUCUCCUCCGUCCAACCCCAAAUGGUAGCAUUUUCAACGACUUGUUACUAGCUUCCCCACUACCAUUAUUCUGGGUCAGAAACCUCUCCGGUUUGAAUUCCAAUGGCUCCUUCCAUAAUUUUUCAUCUCUGUGAAUCGCCCAUGCAUUCACCAGCAGCAUGGUGCCCUUAGGGACGUGGUACCCUCCUAUCACAGUGUCUUCAGAUGAUUCGUGGGGAACCAGGAGUGGUCCGGCCGGGUAGAGACGUGUAGUUUCGGUGAUUAUGGCUUGCAAGUAAGGGAGACUGGAGAGAUCACCCUCAUCUACCAACCUGUUUUGACCAACUUUCUCGUCCAUCUCUUGUCUUGCGAUUUUCAGUACUUGUGGAUUGUUAAGGAGAAAAGCCAUGGCCCAUCCUAUUGUUACCGCCGAAGUGUCUGUUCCGGCUGAUAUCAAAGCCUUUAAUUAAUCAUGCAAAACAUGUCAAUUAUCAGUAAAAGUCGAUCUGUAGGUCGGGUAUGUAUAUAUAUAUAUUGUAUCCAUUUCCAGAACGGACUUAACUCACGGUCAGACGUGAGGUACGUCCGUUCAAUGCCAUCCGAUGUCAAUUAUCCGUCGGACGGUCCCGACCAUGGGACAGUGUCGUCAACAUGGAAAGUCAUCUGCAAUUCCGACCAUGGUACGGUGCCGUCCGAUGGUCAUUGGUCGGUAAGAUCGUGGUGUCCUUCGUGCGGACGUACCUUACCUGAUAAUUUGUUUAUAUAUAUUAUUAUAAAUAAGAUUAGUUACCAUGAAAACACCCUUGAUCACAUCGUCUGUAUAGUAUUCCGGAUCUUUUUUCUGAAGAGAUAACAUAACAUCAAGUACUGGUGUCCUGUUCUCCAAUUUAUCUCCCUCGCCGGUGGAUCCCUGAUUCAUAUUCUUAUUCCUCCGGUGGUUUUCGAUGAUAUGAUCCAAAACCGCAUUUCUUCUGUUCUUCAGAUUAAUAAACUUGUCUUCCAGACCAGCAAGCUUCAUGAGUAGAGGAGGUAUAGGCAAGUAGUCGCUGAUAUUGGAUGCACCAGAGAGGACAAAUGCUUCUUCGACGAUAUCGAAGAAUAAUUUGGCCUCUUGUUCUUUGGUGUGUUCUUCCUCAACUUCAUAGCACUGGUGGUUGUCACCUGUUAUCCCUUUUUUAAUGAUGCCAAGCAUAAGCAUGAAUAACUUGGGCUUGAACUCAACUCUGGUGAAACGAGAAGAAGAUCCGAGAUGGAUUUUGUGUAGUUGUUUUAUAAAUGACCUGAUCUCUUCGAUCCGUAUGUAAGACGAGGCUUGGAGAGGGUGAGUGGAAAAGAUCUCGGACGCGAAAAUCCGACGGAGGUUUCGCCAGUACGGGCCGUAAUUAGCCCAUGCGAUAAUUGUAUGGUUAUACCCUAGAUGUUUUCCGGCAAGAAGACGUGGACGGUUGGCGAAGAUGAUGUCUUUCUCAGUUAAGCAUUCCGCAGCGAUGGAUGCAGAGGAAACGUGGAGCACGGAUCGAUAACCAAAACGCAGUAGUAUAAUGGAACCAUGAAGAUUGGAGAGUUUGGCAAGCGAGCUGUGAAGUGGUUUUUUGAUAAGGUGAAGAUGGCCAAUGAUUGGAAGAGAAGGUGGACUUGGUGGUGUAUUCUUGUUUCUCUUACCGGCGAAUUUGGAACGGAAGAGGAACAAAAAGUAGGGGACGAAAAGGAGACUUCAACUGAAUAAGAUACCAUUUUUGAUACCAAGAACUACGUACGUUACAUGGUCUUAUACAGAUCUUAUAUGCAUUAUUUUCUUCUUUCGAGAGCUUAGUUUAUUAUUAUCAUUAGAAUAUUAACCACAUGCCUACACCUCAAUUAAUUUUUUAUUAUCAUUAUUAUUAGAUCGAGUACAUGUGAUUCAUGUGAAUGAUAAAUUAAUUAAUGACGUGACAGUGAUUAAUGGAAACGUCAAUUAAUGGAAACGUCAAUUAAUGGAAACGUGGUUAAGAUAUUGCAAUUUGAUUAUUGGAUGAAACUUGUAAUUUGAAUAGACCUGUUCGGAGAUGACCACGAGUGAUCUGCUUGACAAUCAAUUUCAAUAUACUUGGUGCGUUCAUGAAAACCUGGAUUGGAUGUUAUAUGAAUAGCAGCCAUGUUAUCACAAUGUAAUGUUGUUUCACCUGUAGGUUUUACCUGCAAAUCAUUCAAAAAGUAAUAUAACCACAUAAUCUAACACACAGUUGAUGUCAUUGCCCUAUAUUCACUUUCAGCAGAAGAUCUACUUAUGGUUGAUUGUUUUUUGGAUUUCCAUGCAAUAGCUAAUCCACCAAGGAGAAUUGUAUAACCUGUUAUUGACCUUCUGGUGUUGAGGCAGUCAAUCCAAUCUGCAUCACAGUAUGCUUCAAGUUUUAGGGGUGCAUUUCUUUUGUAGAGGAAUAUUCCUUUUCCAAGAGCCUCUUUGAUAUAUUUUAAGAUCUUCAUAGCUGAAUUAAAAUGUGAUUAAUUAAUUGUAGUGGGUUUGCAAGGAAUUGACUAAAGUAGCUGACAGAGAAUGUUAUGUCUGACCUUGUUAUUGUGAGAUAUAGUAAUUUUCCAAUCAGUUUUCUGUAAAGUUAUGUGACAUUGGAAUUUUUGAUGGGAAGGACCCCAAUUGACCAAAGUCAUGUAGAAUGUCCAAUGCAUGUUUUCUUUGUGAUAAAUAGAUACCCUCUUCUGAUUGAAAUUCUCAAAAAAUAUUUGAGUUUACCCAAAUGUUUAAUGUGGAAAUGAUUGUGUAGGUGUUCUUUUAAUUUUUGGAUUUCACAUUCAUUAUGACCAGAUAUAAUCAAGCAUAGAUUAAUAAGCAAGUGUAAGAAUUUUGAUUUGAUUUGAAAAACAAUGUGUAAUCAGAGUGUGAUUGACUAUAUCCAAAAUUGGAUAAUGCAUUUGUGAGUUUUUCAUAACAGUUUCUGUUGGCUUGCUUUAAGUCAUAUAAAGAUUUUUGAAGUUUACAUACUCUAGAGUCAUUUGGUGGUAACAAACCAGGGGGUGGUGACAUAUAAAUUUCCUCUAAUAGGUCAUCAUGCAAGAAUGCAUUGCUGACAUCCAUCUGAUAUGUUGACCAGUUUUUAAUGGAUGCCACUGCAAUUAAUGUCCUGACUGAUAUUAUUUUGGCUACUGAAGAGAAGAUUUCUUUAUAAUCAAAGCUUUCUACUUGUGUGUGGCCUUUUACCACCAAUCUAGCUUUAAGUCUUUCAAUAUCCCCAUUUGAUUUGUGUUUAACCUUAAAUACCCAUCUAGAGUCUACUAUUUUUCUAUCUUUUGAUUUAGGUACCAUUUCCCAUGUGUCAUUUAGUUCUAGGCACUACAAAAAACCAGCGCAGUUCUGGCGGCCUGGCCGCCGGUAUAAUAGUUCCUGGCGGCCAAGCCGACGGCCGGAAGUAAUGUCGCCGGAAUUGUGAAAUACCGGCGGCUUGGCCGUCGGCAAAAAAUUGUGGAUUCCGAUUUUAACAGAAAUUGUCCCGGCGGCUUAGUCGCCGGCAUUUUUUUUUGAAAAUUAUAUCCUGGCGGCCAGGCUGCCGGCNNNNNNNNNNNNNNNNNNNNNNNNNNNNNNNNNNNNNNNNNNNNNNNNNNNNNNNNNNNNNNNNNNNNNNNNNNNNNNNNNNNNNNNNNNNNNNNNNNNNNNNNNNNNNNNNNUGAGCCACUGGUUCACUUUUGAAAAAAUAAAUUAAUAUAUUUUUUAAUAUAUGAAAUUAAUAAAUUAAAUAUGAAAUUGAAAGUCAAAUUGAAAUUGAAGUUUAAUAUUUAAUGUACAACAAAAAUUAAAUUCGAUAAUUACUAAUUUAAUUUCUUUUUUUCGCUCUUCUUCUUUUUUUUAGUUGCGACCACCUUUCGUAAUGCCUCUUUCGUGAAUAUAAUCGAUCUUCCUCCGCGCGGUUGUGGAGUGGUGUGCUUCUCUUGUGGCGUAGUUUGUAGAGGCGUCGUAGUUUCUUGCGUUGGUAGUUGAGUAGGCGGUGCGGCUCUAGAAGAUGACGCUCCAGAAGUAUAAAUGUUAUGCGCUGCAUCGUUGUUGAAGAUUGGCGGAAACUCCGGUAAGCGCAAGUUCGAAUUUUGAGCGAGCAUUGCUUUGUUGUAUUGUUCGAAAAACGUCAUUUGACGAGCCAUCGCCUCAUUCUGACGAGCCAUCGCCCUCUCGACAGCCUCGUUGACCUUAUCUUCAACCUCUGCUUCGGUCAUAGCAUCUUUUCCUUUAUCCAUGCAGAAGUUCCCCACAUUCAUCCGAUGCAUUGUCUUUUUGCUCAAUGAGGAACCAGUUGUUUCUAAUGUUCUUGAUUUCUUCGAGCUUCUACCGAUAAAUUCGGUUAUAACAAAUUUGAUUAGAGCCUAAUUAAAAAGAAAAGAUGAUAAUAAUUAAUGCAAAUAUAACUAAUGAAUUAUAUUGGAAAAAAUAUGAAAUAAGUACCGUGUUAGUCAUAUUUUCUUGUUGAGCCAUAUUUUUGGCUUCUUCAGUGUCUAUCCAUUUAACCGCUUUAUCCUUAAAAAACAAAUGAAAGUAGUCAAACAAAUAAUAAUUAACUGUAAUUAUAAAUUUAAAAGAUUACGUACCACUCGUUCGUCUUUUGGAUAAGCUUUCUUUAUAUUGAGUUUCCUAAUUUCAAUAUCAUUUAAUCCCUUUUGUUCCUGUAAUAUUAAAAUUAGGAAAAGAAAGAAAAAAGAACUUAAAGUAAAUAUGAAAUUAAAUAAUGUACUUACAGCUUCGUAAUUUUUUUGUGCUAGACUUUUCGAACCUAAACUGUGUGAUGUUUGUUUAGCCCGAUUGCCUUUGUUAAUUUCAGAAAUUUCCUAUAUUAAGUUAAAAUAAAAUAAUUAAGUUAAAAAAAAUAAAAUAAUUAAGUUAUUAAUUGCAUUUAAAAAGAAGAAAUUAAUUAACACGUACUAAUCCCCUCGAUGAUCUUCUCUCGAUCAGCUUUUUUAGAAAUUGUUCUUUGAUGAUGUAGUCGGGUAAUGUUCUCAUAACCUCUUCGACUGUUAGAUCUUUGUUAUUAUAUUUAUCUAAUAAAGAGUUAUAAGCGUUUCUCCAUAAUUUGUUUAACCUUUCAUUGACACGUCGAUAACCAAAGGUUGACCCGUUGUAAUCAAAUUAUCUCUGUUCGAUGAAUAAUUAUAAAAUUAAUUAUUAAUUAACUAUAAAAUCUAUAAUAAUAAUUAAUUAUUAAUUAAUAAACUUGUAUCGUUGCCAUCGCCUCAUCUAUGUUUUUCUGGUCUUGUUCAAUCCACGGUACGUCCAUUAGUAGUAGCUUGAAAUCGUUCGCGACCAUUGCGCAUUUCUUGUUUAAUUUUCUUGCUACGCUAUCGUGGACAAUUUGAUCAUUUCUGAAUUUUAUUACAAACCGUUGUCCUUAUGAUGGAUGAUAUUCAGCAUGAUCUUUGUUUUGUUCUCUUGUUUUUUUCUUCGUUUGAUCACCAUCGCACCCAGCCAUGUUCAUGUCAUGUAGAUUCGGAUGAUCAUAAUCUUGUUCAUCAGUUGAAUGAUCACUCUGAUCGGGAGUCGUGACGACCAUGAAAACCGAUAGAACGAAUGCUACUAGUAACCAAUACAUCUAAAUAAAAAAAGGAUAAUCUAAUUAAUUAAAAGAUAAUAUAAAAUAAAAAUAAUAUUCAAAUUCAUUAUUUAUCGUCUACAUCAAAUAUUUGUCUAUGAGGUCUGUUUAAUACAAAACUCCUAUUAGAUUCAAUAGGAUCUAUUGAAUAAAAAUAUUGUUUAACUUGUUCGGCAAAAAUAAACGGUUCUUCCCCAUAUUUUGGCAUAGACGUUUUCACACUAACCAGACCGAACUCGUCUUUUUUAUAUCCUUCGUACCAUUUGCAGUGAAACAUGGGAUAUUUCAACAUAUUAUGUCCGUAACAUACUUCGAAAACUUUCUGAAGAGUUCCAUGGUACGAAAGAUCAUCAAUUUUUGGAUCGUCAUUUGGAUUAUUUAAGUAUGUGGAUGUAGUGGCGGAGACUAAGAUACCGUGAUUUUGUGUCUUUUUUAAAUUUGACACUUCAAACGAAAGAAAUUUUACACCGUUUAAGAUGUAGUCGUUGUACGAUUUUAGGAAGAAAUUUGGAUCUCUUGAUAUCGAAUAAAUAUCUCGUGAAAUAUUCUCGUCCUUGCAUCUAUUUUUCUGAACAUAUGUUUCAAACCAGUCUGCAAAUUCUUUAAAAUGUAAUUUUUGCAAACGCAAAGAAGUAAUAGUCGGAUACCUAAUAUGUCAAACGUAAAUAUUAAAUAGAUACGAAAAAGAUAUAUCGAUGAUAUGAAAAUGAUUAAUCAUGUCAUAUACCUACCUUUGUUUUAGGUCUUCGAUAUGAAGAUUUCGGAAUAUCUCAAUAAUAUCCAAAUUGAAAAUGAUAUAUCGAUGAACUUGACCAUGUUCAAGUUUAGUGAGCGAAGUGUGAGUUGAUGCACCAUAGUAACCAUCGAUAUAUCUUUCCGUUCUAUUUGACUUAGUUUCAACGUUAUGUAAAAAACGUGAACAGAAUAUCAUAGAUUCGUCGGCCAGAUAUUUUUCUGCAAUCGACCCUUCAGGAUGACUACGGGUCCGAACGUAUUUUUUCAAAGUCAAUAGAUAUCUUUCAAUUGGAUACAUCCAUCGAUAAUGAACUGGACCAGCCACUUUAGCUUCACUUGCAAGAUGUACUACUAGAUGUAUCAUUAUUGUAAAAAAACUCGGAGGAAAUAUUUUUUCCAAGUUGCACAAUGUAAUAACGAUGCUUUUUCCAAUCUUUCCAUAUCUUCAACUACAAUCGCCUUAGAACAAAUCGCGAUGAAAUACUGCCAUAUGUCAACUAAAACAGAUGUUACCUUCGGAUGUGUUGAUCGGCGUAACGCAAUUGGAAGUAAUUGUUGCAUUAUCAUAUGACAAUCAUGACUUUUCAAACCUGUAAACUUCCUUUCUUUCAAUUUCACUUUUGAUGAGAUGUUGGAUGCGUACUCAUCCGGAAAUUUGAGAUCAUGAAACACUUUACAGAAAAUCGUCUUUUCUUCAUUAUUGAGAUUGAAUAUCGCCUUUGGAAUCUUCCAUUCAGAAUCAUUAAUCUUUACUGGAUGUAACUCGGAACGAAUUUUCAUUUCUUGAAGAUCCAAACGGGCACUCAAAUUGUCUUUCGAUUUGCCAUCCAUUCCCAAUAAAGUGUUUAUAAUAUUGUCGCAAACAUUUUUUUCAGUAUACAUAACGUCGAUAUUAUGACGUAUCAACAGAAUCUUCCAAUACGGCAAUUGAAAGAAAAUACUAACUUUUUUCCAUCCAGGAGGUAAGGACAUGACUUUCAUCUUCUUCUUUGAUGGUCUCUCAUCGUUUUUGCCAAAAAUAAUAGAAUUUCUAAAAAAAUUCAAAAUCAGAAAUACCUCCUCUCCCAAGGGUCGUUUAGGCGCUUCUUCACUUUCGAUUUUUUUAUUGAAAUCCUUCUUAUUACGUCUAUACGGAUGGUCUUUUUCCAAGAAACGACGGUGUCCAAGAAAAGACUCUUUCUUUCCAUAUUUCAAUCGAACACUACUCGUUUUUUCAGAACAAACUGCACAUGCCAAUUUUCCUUUCGUGCUCCAACCAGAAAGAUCACCAUAUCUAGGAUAAUCAUUAAUUGUCCACAUCACUGCAGCAUGCAUUUNNNNNNNNNNNNNNNNNNNNNNNNNNNNNNNNNNNNNNNNNNNNNNNNNNNNNNNNNNNNNNNNNNNNNNNNNNNNNNNNNNNNNNNNNNNNNNNNNNNNNNNNNNNNNNNNNNNNNNNNNNNNNNNNNNNNNNNNNNNNNNNNNNNNNNNNNNNNNNNNNNNNNNNNNNNNNNNNNNNNNNNNNNNNNNNNNNNNNNNNNNNNNNNNNNNNNNNNNNNNNNNNNNNNNNNNNNNNNNNNNNNNNNNNNNNNNNNNNNNNNNNNNNNNNNNNNNNNNNNNNNNNNNNNNNNNNNNNNNNNNNNNNNNNNNNNNNNNNNNNNNNNNNNNNNNNNNNNNNNNNNNNNNNNNNNNNNNNNNNNNNNNNNNNNNNNNNNNNNNNNNNNNNNNNNNNNNNNNNNNNNNNNNNNNNNNNNNNNNNNNNNNNNNNNNNNNNNNNNNNNNNNNNNNNNNNNNNNNNNNNNNNNNNNNNNNNNNNNNNNNNNNNNNNNNNNNNNNNNNNNNNNNNNNNNNNNNNNNNNNNNNNNNNNNNNNNNNNNNNNNNNNNNNNNNNNNNNNNNNNNNNNNNNNNNNNNNNNNNNNNNNNNNNNNNNNNNNNNNNNNNNNNNNNNNNNNNNNNNNNNNNNNNNNNNNNNNNNNNNNNNNNNNNNNNNNNNNNNNNNNNNNNNNNNNNNNNNNNNNNNNNNNNNNNNNNNNNNNNNNNNNNNNNNNNNNNNNNGACCACUGAUUGAUACACUUACAUUGAAAUAAUUCCAAAUUAAAGAUAGCUUUGUAAAUUCGGUACAACCGGGCCAUAAUUCUUGUUCAGCGUCUUUCAACCGAUUAACAAAAGUCGAAUCAUAAUUUAAAUCUGGAAGAUCUUCAUUCGGUUCUGGAAGAUCUUCAUCAUUAUGAUCUGGAAUAUCUGCAAUAUAUGGAAUAUCUGGAAUAUUUUCAAUCUCAUCAGGUCUACCCAUCGCCACGCAAACCAAAUUACGCAUUUCAUUGUUUGGUUCAUCUUCAACUAUAUUUUUUAUGUUUGGUUCUGAAUCGUAAGUUCGCUCACCAUGUUUCGUCCAUAUAACAUAAUGUGCCAACUAACCAUUCAUGAAAAUGUGUUGACGUAAAUCGGCAAUUGGAAUCACAUUUCUAUUGGUACAGUCUCUACAUGGAUAUGGUAAAUAUCCUUCCUUAUAUAAACCAUGGUAUUUUCGUAAACCAUAUUGAACAAACGCCGUGAGACCAUCUCUGAAUUCUUGGCUACAGGGGCUCAAAGUUAACCAAGUCUUAUCAGGUACCCGGAUUUCUGACAUUCAACUGAAAUACAUACAAUUAUAAUUGAUUAAUAAACAAUUAUUUAAAAACUAACUAACAAUCAAACUUAUGAUUGUUACUUUUUUUAAUUAUUAAUUAAUUAAAUAAAUGAUUUUAAUUUUUAGAUAAUUGUUUUCAACAUUGGAUUUUAAAUCAAGUUCUUAAUAUAAAAACUGAUUAAUGGAAUUUCCAAUAUUUUCUUAAUUACUUAAUAAUUAAUAAUUAAUUAAUUAAAUAAUUAAUUACUAAUUAAUUACUAGUUAAUUAUUCAACAAUUACUUAAAAAUUAACUAACAAUCACACUUAUAGAAAAUCUGAUUGUUACUUUUUUUAAUUAUUAAUUAAUUAAUUAAUUAAAUAAAUGAUUUUAAUUUUUAGAUAAUUGUUUUCAACAUUGGAUUUUAAAUCAAGUUCUCAAUAUAAAAACUGAUUAAUGUAAUUUCCAAUAUUUUCUUAAUUAAUAAUUAAUUAUUAUUCAACAAUUAUUUAAAAAUUAACUAACAAUCACACUUAUAGAAAAUCUGAUUGUUACUUUUUUUAAUUAUUAAUUAAUUAAAAAAUUAUUUAAAAUUAUUUAAAAUUAUUUAAAUUUAAUUAAAUAAUUAUUUAUUUAAUUAUUAAUUAAAUAAAUGAUAUUGAUUUUUAAAUAAUUGUUUUCAACAUUGGAUUUUAAAUCAAGUUCUCAAUAUAAAAACUGAUUAAUGGAAUUUUCCAUAUUUUCUUAAUUAAUAAUUAAUUAAUUAAUUAUUAUUCAACAAUUAUUUAAAAAUUAACUAACAAUCACACUUAUAAAAAAUCUGAUUGUUACUUUUUUUAAUUAUUAAUUAAUUAAAUAAUUAUUUAAAUUUAAUUAAAUAAAUGAUUUUAAUUUUUAAAUAAUUGUUUUCAACAUUGAAUUUUAAAUCAAGUUCUCAAUAUAAAAACUGAUUAAUGGAAUUUCCAAUAUUUUCUUAAUUAAUUAUUAAUUAAUUAAUUAUUUCAUAAUUAAUUUAUAAUUAAUAAUUAAUUAUUCAACAAUUACUUAAAAAUUAACUAACAAUCACACUUAUAGAAAAUCUAAUUGUUAAUUCUUUUAAUUAUUAAUUAAAUAAAUGAUUUUAAUUUUUAAAUAAUUGUUGUUCAACAAUUUUUUAAAAAUUAACUUACCCUAACCCUAACCCUAAUUAAUUAAAUAAUUAUUUAAUUAUUUUUCAAUUAAAUAAUUAUUUAACUAAUUUUAUAUAAAAUAAUUACUAAAUAUUUAUUUAACUAAUUUUUAAAUUUAUUUAAUUUUCUAUUUAAUUUAAAAUCAUGCAUUUAUUUUAACUCAUGCAUUCAUUUUAACACAUGCAUUCAUUUUAACUCAUGUAUUUCAAUUCAUUUCAUGGCAUUUCAUUAUUUCAUAGCAUUCAUUUCAAAAAAUUUGUAUUCAUUUCAAAAAAUUUGUAUUCAUUUUAAAUUCACACAAUUUAAGAACAUGCAUUUCAUUUUCCAAUUAUUUAAUUAACAUGCAAAUUAUAUUAACUAAUUAAUAAAUGAAUAAUUUAAAAUGAAUAAAAAAUAUUACAUUGAUCGAUCGAUGAAGAUUAAAACGCAAAUUGAAUUUCAACCGGAAAUGCUAAUUACAACUAUCCGUAAAUACCUACAAAAAAAUAUCAACACAUAACAUAUAUAUCGAUCAAUAAACACAACAAAACACAUAAAAUAUCAUAAACUAUAUAUCGCAACACAUAGUCAAUAUCAAAAGACCUUAAUUAAUUUGUAAAUUACAUACCUUAAUCAAAACAAACACCUGGCGUGAGAUGGUCCAACAAUAAUUAAAAACAGUUCGGCACAGCGGGGAACGGAGAUCGGAUAUCGGAGACGCAAAAUCCAACAACAAUUCGAUCUAAAAAAUGUCAUAAAUUAAAAGAGAAAAUUUAAAUAAUUAAUUAAAACAGAAUAUUUAAAUAAAAAAUUCAAAAAGAAUUUAAAACAGAACAUACCUAUUUGAUUAAAUUAAAACAAAAAUUUAAAAACAUUUAGAUCAAAUAUCAUAUAGACAUUUUCAACUAUUUUAAUCUAAACAUUAAAAACAGUUUUAAUCUAAAUUUAAAAACAUUUAGAUCAAAUAUCAUAUAGAUUAAAAAUUUAAAACAGAAACUACCUAUUCCAGCAACUACCUAAAAAUUUAAAAACAGAUUAAAUAUUGAUAAUGAAUUAAAACAUUAUAACAGAUUAUAGAUUAAAACAUUAUAACAGAUUAAAACAGAUUAAUAUUAAAACAGAAUAUUAAAACACUAUUCCAGCAACUACCAACAUCAAUUAAAACAGAAUAUUAAAAUAGUUGAUAAUCCAACAAUAAUUAAUUAUAGAUUAAAAUAUUCCAGUAAAAUAAUAGAUUAAAAUAACAGAAGAUUAAAAUAAAUAAAAAAAUCAUUAUAGCAUCAAAAACAUCAAACACUUACAAAAAUACUUACAAAAACAUCAAAACACAAAAUCAUUUAAAAAAAUAAAAAAGUAAAACAUUCAAACCAAUUAAUUAAAACAAUCAUAACAUUUAAAACAUUUAACCCUAACAAUUUAAAACAUUUUAAACAACACACUAAAUCAAACAUCAACCCCAAAUUAAAAAAACCCCAUUUCAUAAUACCCUAAAUUAGAAAUCUCCAUUUCAUAAAACCCUAAAUAUAAACCCCCUAAUUACUAUAACUUUCACAAAUAAUAAAUCCCAAAAUCAAAAAACCCCAAAUCAUAAACCCCAAAUCAUAAACAACAAAAAAAAGGAGAGAAAAAGAUGAAGAAGAUAACAAAAUAACAAAAGAAGAUAACUAAUGGAGGAUGAAGAACAUACCUUUACGAAGAACUUCGAAGAUCACCGGAGAGAAAUAGCUGGAAGAUCACCGGAGAGAAAUUGAGGGAGAGUUAGGGAGGAGUGGGAAUAGUGGAGACGUUUUUGGAGGAAAAGAAAAUGAAAGAAAUCUGGAAAUUUUUUACUUAUAUAAAAAAAUCCUGGCGGCCUGGCCGCCGGGAAAUAUUUAAGUUCGAGUUGACUAAGUUUGACUGUACGGGGGACCACGGCGACGCAAGUUGUAAUUUUAGGGUUUCCAAAAAAUCCUGGUGGCCAGGCCACCGGCUACUGACAAAAAUAAGCAGGAAAAAGUAUCCAGCAGCCAAGCCGCCAGCAAUUUUUCUCCCGACCGUUGAGGGUUUUAGGAUGCCGGCGGCCAGGCCGCCAGCUCACUUCUUCCCGACCUUUGGGAAAAUUGGAGCUGGUGGCCAGGCCGCUGGCAUAUUUUAAAAAAAAAGAUACCGUCGGCCUGGCCGCCAGCUCAUUUCUCUCAUUUACGAGGGAAAAUUAUGUCGGCGGACAAGUGUAACAUUCCGGCGGCCUGGCCGCUGGUCGUAUCUACCGGCGGCCUGGCCGCCGGGAGAUGGGCGUCAGAAUUGCGUUGGUUUUUUGUAGUGCGCGACAGUAGCGAGGAGAUCUUGAUUUUUUUUUCUUUCCGCUGUGAACUCAGGUACUGAGAAAUGGAGCAGUAUGAAGCUAAUCCAUUCUUGGAUAACAUAAGAAGAUGUAUUAAGCAUCAAUUGGAGGCUUCCGAUAAUUACUUGUUCAGGAAAUCGCAGAUAGAGGAUCUGUUCAAUAUGUAUGGUCUGAUGAGUAUUGUAGCACCCGAUCAAACAAUUCCAGAAGAGCAAGUAGACAAUAUGAUAAAUCCGGAAUUCGAAAAGUGGCAAAAGAGCAACUGAUUGGUCCUAUCGUGGAUCAAAUCUUCUGUCAACAAAUCGAUUUAUCCUCUGAUUAUGAAUGAGACGAUGGCGUCAAAGGUCUGGGCGAAUCUUGAGAAAAAAUUAUCCCCAAGGAUGGAAGUCUAUGCGAAAACCAUCAGGGAUAGACUUGGCGCCGAGAAGAAGACUGACGGCAGGGGGAUGACUGAUUACCUUCUUGCGAUUCGUUCUCUUUCCGAUAAUCUAAUCGAGUGUUGUUCCAAAUUAACCGAGAAAGAAGUCAUUGGGUAUGUGUUAGAUAGAUUGCCGGAUGAAUAUGCCUCUUUCGUUACUACGAUCAACGCACAGAAAGGUCUGGAUUUUGACGAUGUGUAUCAUCUCCUUAUAGAGGAGGAUCUGGCGAUCAAGCGGCGUCAGGCAUCGUCGGCAUCUGCAUCGGCAGUAGCAGGGCAGUUUUCAGCAUUUGCAGCCCAUACGUCCAGGUAUAACAAAAAUAAAAAAUAUUUUCGUGGGCAUGGUGGAAAUUUCCAGACAGGUAGCAAUUCUCGUGGAGGUCGGAAUGGAGAACAACCACAAUAUUGGGUUCGAAGGAGAGACUCUCAGAGAGGAGGGUACUCUCAACUUAAUUCAACAACUGCUCCACCUCGAGCUGUUGUUCCAAACAUUCAAUGUCAGAUUUGCAACAAAGGGGGUCACUCGGCAAGAUUGUGCUCAGAAAGAGGUAAUUUUGCGUAUAUGGCAGGAACCCUAGUUGAUUCAGUUUCAGGAUGACAAUUGGUGUUUGGAUUCCGGGACGUCGCAUCACAUGACUCCGGAAAUUGAUCAAUUUUUUGAUGCUCAGCCCUACUCAGGUAUGACUAGUAUAAUAAUUGAAGAUGGUAAGACUUUGAGCAUCACACACAUUGGCACUGUUAAAUUAAAAACUGAUUUUGGUUAUUUAAUUUUAAAAGAUGUGUUAUGUGUACCUAAAAUGCGUAAAAAUCUAAUUUCUAUUCAAUGUUUAACUAGAGAUAUGAAUUGUGAUUUUAUAUUGAAUGAAUUUGGUUUUAUGGCUAAGGACAAGAAGACGGGGAAGAUUUUUCUGAAUGGCAGUAGUGCCGGGGGUCUUUAUCAUCUGAGGCCGGGAUUUCAAGUCAAAGCUGCUGGAUUUUAUGCUUCUAGUCUACUAGCAUCCACUAGUGUAGUUAAAGACAUAUAUGGUCUAUGGCAUGGCAGAUUGUGUCACGUUAAUAGCACUAUAUUAGAAAAAUUAGCUAGGACUAAUUAUAAUUUCAAAUUAGAUGAAUGUAAUAAAGAUUGUGAAAUUUGUUCUAUGAAUAAAUUGCAUAAGUUUCCUUUUCAAAGAAGGAAAAUAUAUUAUAGAGAACCCCUUGAAAUUAUUCAUAUUGAUGUAUGGGGUCCUGCUCCAAUUAAUUCCAUAACUGGUUUUAGGUAUUAUCUUAUUUUAGUUGAUGAAUUCAACCGAUAUACAUGGGUAUAUCCUUUGAAAAAUAAAUACGAAGUAUUAGAAAAAUUUAAACUUUUUCAUAAAAUGGUAGAAAACACAUGCUAAAUAAUAAAAUAAAAAUUAUACAGUCUGAUUCAGGAGGAGAAUUCCUGAAUAAUAAAUUUCAACAAUACACACAGCAGUGUGGUAUUGUUCAGAGAUUUUCAUCUCCCUAUACCCCUGAACAAUUGGGAAUAGCUGAAAGAAAGCAUCGACAUCUUAUUGAGACAGUUAGAUGUUUGUUACAUAAGUCUAAAGUACCUAAGAUUUAUUGGGUAGAAGCUACUCUAAUGGCUAUUUUUACUAUUAAUAGGAUUCCUUCUCCAAUUACUAAAGAAAAAUCACCUUUUGAUCGAGUUGCUAUUUGAUAGAAGUCCAGAUUACAAUUAUUUGAGGGUAUUUGGAACUCUUUGCUUCCCAUUACUACCUAAAAUCAAAAGAGAUAAGUUCUCUCCUAAGGAAGCUACAUGUUGUUUUCUUGGAUAUUCUCCAAGUCAUAGAGGGUAUAGAUGUCUGAAUUUAGAAAAUAAUCAAGUAAUAGUAUCUAGGUGAUGGGGGUGAAACCCGACCAGUACUCCAAGACACGCAAGCAAGCGCCAAGCGGGGAACUCCGCGGGAAACCGGACCGGAACUCAAGUGCGCAGAGCUCUGCUUCGCUAGGAAUCCUUUCGCUCCAAAUGACCUGCCUUUAAUAAGUGGGGAUGCCUCCUAUUUAUAGGGGUUCUUAUGGGGGUAAUCUGGUCAUUUGGGCAGUAACCGCCUAACUGCCUAACUGAUCAGAUCGGGGCCCGAGAUCGACUUUCCAGAGAUCGACUUUCUGGGGAUCGACUUUCCUGGUGAUCGACUUUAUUCAGAAGUCGAUCCCAGGGAAGUCGAUCCUCAGGAAAGUCGAUCUUCCUAGGAUUCGACUUGGGACCUUCCCAACCCUAGAAUAGGUACCUUAACUCAUCUUAGGCUAUCCGGACUUCUAGUUGCUGGUAGGUUGUGACCGGGUUCGGGAUACUGUAUCACCAGUACUCCCCCCUUCUCUGCGUAUUAGAUACUUUGGGAUACGUCUUUUAGUACUAUGGUCUGUGUGUUGGACCUUGUACUAUCACUAGGCAUGUCAAAUUUCAUGAGAAUGUUUUUCCCUUUCAUACUUAAGAGAAAACAUUAACUAAAAAUGAGGUUAAAGAUGAAGAUUUGUUUUUCAAAGUUGAUAAUGUCAUUUUACCUAUGGUUAGAACUAGAGAUAAUAUAAUCUCUAAUUCUGAAAUUAAUCCAAGCCAGGAAACAAUUAAUCCUAGUUUAAGUCAGGAUUUCAUUUCUGAACAUAAUUCAGGUUUAAAUCAGGGCUUAAAUUCCUCCCCUAGUCAAUCUGGUCAACCUGAUCAGUCUAGUGAAUCAAGUCAAGGUAGUCAACCUAGUCAAGCAGAUCAACUUAAUCAAGAUGGUCAAUCAAGUCAAGAAAAUCAGUUUCACCAAACUAGUCAAUCUAGUCAAAUGAUAAGUUCUAAGGCUGAACCAAGUAUGAUUAGACAGGUGAGUAAAAGGGUAAAUACUAAUUCAACUGAGCAAUUAAGAAGGGGAAAAAGACUGAAGUCAGCUCCAGUUGAUUUGGUUAAGAAUUAUAGAUCUGUAUAUCUUUUACCUGAGGCUUUAAUUACUGAGGUAACUGAUCCAAGUCUAAAGGAGCCAAAGAACUUUAAAGAAGCUGUAAAGAAAGAGAUUUGGAAUGAAGCAAUGAAAGAAGAAUUCAAAGCCUUAGAAUUAAACAAGACAUGGGAAUUGGUCCCAUUUAAUAAAUCAAUGAAUUUAGUAGGUUGUAAAUGGGUAUAUAAGAUAAAAAAAAGUGAUGAUUCUAUAGAAAGACAUAAGGCAAGGUUGGUAGCACAAGGAUAUAAACAAGUAGAAGGGAUCGAUUAUAAUUUGGUAUAUAGUCCAGUAGUAAAAUCACCCACUAUUAGAAUGGUGCUAUCUAUAGUGGUAACUAAGGGACUAGUCUUAAGACAAUUGGAUGUAAAAAAUGCUUUCUUACAAGGAGAGCUCUCUGAAAUGGUAUACAUGAAACAACCUAUUGGGUUUGAAGAUAAGAAAUACCCUAAUCAUGUGUGCAAAUUGAAAAAGGCCAUUUAUGGUUUAAAACAGGCACCAAGGGCUUGGUAUUCUAGACUGAGUAUAAGUUUUUGGUAGAUAUAGGUUUUACAAACAGUGUUGCUGAUACAUCACUUUUUGUAUAUAAUAGAUUUGGCUAUAGUGUUUGGAUUUUAGUCUAUGUUUAUGAUUUAAUAGUAACCGGAGAUAACAAUAGGGCCAUGGAAAAUGUAAUCAAGAAAAUUUGUACUGAAUUUAGAUGCAGGGAUUUAGGAAUAUUAAAGACAUUUCUAGGCAUAGAAGUGGAGAGGAAGAAGGAUGGUUCAAUAUUAUUGAAUCAAGCUAGAUAUGCAACUGAAUUAUUAGUAAGGUUUGAUAUGAGUUUAUGUAAACCAUGUAAAUCUCCAGCACCAAUAGGAUCUAAAUUACUCAAAAAUGAAGGAGAAAUCUUAAAAGAUCCAACUACGUUUAGAGCAUUGGUAGGAUCAUUACAAUAUCUUACUCUAACCAGACCAGAUUUGACAUAUUAUGUCAAUCAAGUUUCUCAAUUUUUACAAGAACCUAGAACUUCUCAUAUGGCAGCUGCAAAGAGAAUUUUGAGGUUUUUAAAGGGAACUAUAAUUAAUGGAAUUAGAUUUGCUAAAUCAGAAUCUAAGAACAUGUCACUGGUAGGCUUCUGUGAUUCAGAUUUUGCAGAAGAUCCUAAUGAUAGGAAAUNNNNNNNNNNNNNNNNNNNNNNNNNNNNNNNNNNNNNNNNNNNNNNNNNNNNNNNNNNNNNNNNNNNNNNNNNNNNNNNNNNNNNNNNNNNNNNNNNNNNNNNNNNNNNNNNNNNNNNNNNNNNNNNNNNNNNNNNNNNNNNNNNNNNNNNNNNNNNNNNNNNNNNNNNNNNNNNUGCACCUAUAAUUUUUUGUGAUAAUUCAUCUACUAUUUUUCUGGCAUCAAAUCCAAUAAAUAGAAGUAGAACAAAACACAUUGAUACUGACUAUCACUUUAUAAGAGAAAUCAUUAGUAGAAAGGCAUUAGUAUUGAAACAUGUUCCUUCAGCUAAUCAGUUGGCUGAUCUGUUUACAAAAGCAUUAGGAACAGAUAGGUUCUUAAAAUUAAGUGAAAAGAUAAGAAUGGAGGUGUGCGUGAAUUUAGAAAAUGGUUAAAUCAUUUCAUUAGAACUAGUUAAAUUUAAAGUUUCUGUUGUUUUUAGAAUUUAAAGUUAAAUUUAGAAUAGUUUCUUUUGUUUUGGUUUUGUUUGAUUAAUCACUUUUGAUUGUGUAUUCAAGAAACUAAUUUUUGGGUUUCAUUGGUUGCAGGUGAGUGCGGCUAAUCACAAACUAAAUGUUUUUUGUUGUAUUGAUAUAACUGUAUGCAGGAUGUAUAUUUGCAGGAUGUGUGUUGUGUUUAUGCAGGAUGUAUGUUGUAUUUGUUUGUAUGCAGGUAAUAAAGUGCAAGAAACAAGUAACUUGGAUAUUGGAUGUGCUGGCUGCAACAAUCCAAGGCUUAGAUUGAAUGUAUAUGAUCUAAAGGAAGGGUUUUCCUAGUCAAGUAAAAGAAUAAGAGGAGAAAAAUUAUGGAUCCCAGCUAGAUUUUUCCCCCUAUUUUAGGUCAAUUACAUCUCAUGUAGCAAUCCAAGUUGGAGCAGAGAAGCUAGAAAAUUUUGAGGAAUUUAAAUGCCUAUCAAGAGCAAUCGUACAAGAAGAAUAUUGUUUAGUGUGCAAGGUUUAGUUUGCAAGCUUCCUUCACCUUGAGGAGUAUGAAUGAGAAUGUUAUAUUCAGUUAAUAACAACAUAGUUAGUUAAAUAGAGUACUUAUAAUGGUAGUUAGUAGUCUUUUAGUAUAAAUUGAGUCUGUAGACAAUAUGAUUCUUUAAUCGAAUACAUUGAGAUUUUCCACUAUUGAUAAUGGGGUAGUACCUGUAAAGAAUUAGAGCGAAGAAUGUCGACGGAGGAGAAGAGGAAACAGUCGACUUAAGAGCAUCAAGAAUCAAGAAAAAGGAGUUGAUGCUUGAAGAAAAAGAAGAGGUUAAAAUAAUUGGGGACAAUUAUUUCAAAAAGAAGAGGAAAAAACUUUUCUAAUUGGUAUAUAAAAUAAACCUUACACUUAUUUAUACAAUUAUAAUUGGUAUAUUUUCAAAUUAAACCCUAUCUAUAUGAAAAAAAACUUCAACCACUCAUAACUUCAACAAUUGUUUGGUCUUUUGCUUUUAUUAUUCUCACAGAAGAUACAUCACUUUUUAUGUGAGACCAUGAUUGUAGUUUUUAACUGGUUGUCAAUUAAUUGAGUUGAUGGUAGGGGUAAAAAAACCCAGGUGGGAGAUCUUUGCUCCUCUUUUAAAAUUUUGCAGUCUUUCCCGUCUUUUUCUAGGAAAACUCCAUUCCAUCAAACCAAUUAACCAGUUCAUCCAAGUUUACUAACAAACUGAUGGAAACCGAGGUGAACAGAUCGAUGAGAUUAAGAAGAGAGAAGUUAACCCAAAAUGAAUGACUGUAUUCCUUGAUAAUUAUAAGAGUAUACAGUUCAUGUAUUUAUAACAAUGUAUUGAUAGUUAACUGCUAAACUGCUAACAGCAAUUAGUUUUAUUUGGUUUAACUAAUUGCUCUUCAAUACAAACCAAGUCUAUACCCUUGUUUUCUUCAUCCUUCAAUUCUGAAUUUUCUUAUUCUCUCCAUGAUGAUUAGAAUCGGAACAUAGACUCUUUGUUAAUAGAAUUGUCUGCAAUAAUAAAAAAACAUUCAUCCUGCAAUUAAAUCUAAACAUAGCUGAACUGCUUCCAUGAAAUUACUGAAAAUUUAUCCUGCAAUCAAAUCUGAAUAUAAUUGAACUGCUUCCCUGAAAUUGUUGAAAAUUCAUCCUUUCUGUAUUUAUCAAACAUACAUUUCACAUAACAAACAUAUCAUAUACAAAUAGUUGAUAUAUUAAUCAAACCAAGCAAUCAAAUAACAACAAAAAUCAAGCAACAAACAGGUAAUUUGUAUAUUCCUUUAUUUGAACACAACUCUAAAAAAAACUAGACUCGUACAAACAACAAAUCAAUUUAUUAAUUUAUUAUUAUUUCUAUUUUCUUAAGGAUUAAUCAUUAACCCUUUGCAAAUGUAUUACUGUUGUGUUUGUUUUUUGUUGUUUUUUAACUCUUUGAACUACGUUGAAACUAGUUUAUGUUUUAUUUUAUGUUGCUCAAAUAGGUCACUACUUAAGAUUUUUGUGAACCCAUCAGCUAGUUGAAGGAUUGAUGGAAUAUACUUCAGCUUUACAACUCCUUUGGCAAUUAAUUCCCUUAUAAAAUGCAAUGUUGGUGAGGUUGUUGAAUUUUCAGCCAUAAAUAUAGUUGAUUUAUUGUCACAGUAUAUUGUUGGUGAAUCCUCAAAUCUUAUCUCAAGCUCCCUAAACAGAUUGCAUAAAUUUUUAAUUUCACUCAUGAUGGCAGUUAGUGCUCUGUACUCUGAUUCACAACUAGACUUGGCUACUUCACUUUGUUUCCUUGCUGACCAGACUACUAGAUUUCCUGAAAACCAAAUGCUAAGUCCUGUUAUAGAUUUCCUGUCUCCUGAUUCACCACCCCAAUCAGAAUCACAAUAUCCAGUUAUGGUUAACUUCUCAUUGUUUGAUGGGGUAAAUCUUAGUCCCAAAUUUUGAGUUCCUUUUAAGUAUCUCAAGACUCUUUUUGCUGCUUGUAAAUGCAAAUCAGUUGGAACUUGCAAGUAUUGACUUAAUUGAUUCACAUAAAUGGUAAUGUCAGGUCUGGUUAGAUUUAGGUAUUGAAGAGACCCAAUUAUGCUUCUAUAAAUUGUUGGUUCCUCCAAUUCUUCUCCUUCAGUUUUACUUAACUUUGGUAGUCUUUUCAUUGGAGUUUUGCUCCUUGUCUAAUGCAUUCCAACCCAAGGAAAAUAUUUAAUUCCCCUAGAUCUCUGCAUUGAAACUUCUUACACACUAAUUCCACACAAUUUUUUACUUCACUCUCACAAUCAUCAGUAACUACAAUAUCAUCUACAUAUACAAGCAUAUAAACUUUGAAUGAUUCGCUUAUUCUUAAAAAUAAUGAUGGAUCUGUCUUACUGUUCUCAAAUCCAUUAUUUACUAAAAAUAAAUGUAAAUUGGAAUACCAAGCUCUAGGGGUUUGUUUAAGUCCAUAUAAAGCUUUAUGUAGAAGAUAAAACUUCAUUUGGUUUAUUUUUAUCUGAGAAGCCUAUAGGCUGCUUCAUGUAAGCAGUUUCAGAUAGAUAAUCAUUCAAGAAUGCAUUUUUUACAUUCAGUUGUUUAAGUUUCCACUUGUUCCUAACAGCCAAGGCUAGAAUAUUUUAACUGUAGUAAUUUUCACUACUGAACUAUAUGUAGCAUUAAAAUCAAUUCCCUCCUCUUCUUGAUUGAAACCAUUAGCUACUAUUCUAGCCUUAUACCUUUCUAUUGUACAAUCAGACUUUCUUUUUAUCUUGUAUACCUAUUUAUUCGCUAUUAGGUUCAUAUUUGGCUCAUAAAGGUACUAGAAACCAGGUUUUGUUAGAUUCUAACGCAUCUAACUCAUCUCUCAUUGCUAUUUUCCAUUUUUCCUCUUUAUUGGCCUGGCCAAAGGAAGUGGGUUCAGUUUCUCUAUACACAGUUUGAUAGCAUAUAAAAUCCUUCAAAUUGGCUGGUUUUCUAAUGUUUCUACCAGAGGAUGUUUUUACAAGACUAGUUUCUUUAAUUUUAUUCUCUUUUGUUAUAUCUUUAGUGGUAUUUGUUCUCAAGUUUUUGUUCUCAGGUUCUGAUGUGUUAUUAGUUUCUGAUAUUUCUAAUGUACUUUCAGAAUCUUUCCCUAAAUCUUUACCUGUUGGUUCUGAGAUUGAGAUUGUAGAGUCUACUUUUGAAGUAUCUUUUGUAAUUUCUCCAUUUUCAUUUGUAUGUUGAGCACUUUUUGAAAUUAUUUUUAUAGAUUUAAUUUUAUCUAAUGAUGAACUCAAACUAAAACUUGAAUUUUCAACUCCUCCUAAACUCUCUUCUACUGAUUUUGUAGUUUUAGUUAAUACUGAUUGUUCACUAUCCAGGUUUCCUUUUCUAUUUUCUUUAGGUCCGGAUUCAAAGAUUCUGAGUUUAUCCAUCAUCGAGGUUAGAUGUUUAAUAUAAACUUUCACAGAUUUUUCCUUUUUAGGAAGAUUUUGGGUCAAUACAAGAAGAGUAAUAUUCUGAUCUUUACCUUGAGUUAAUAUAGGUAAAGUAAUGGUUUGAUCUUGAGCUCCAUAUUUUUUAUUGAUUACUGAAUUUGGUAAGAUAAUUGGAAAAUCAGGAUCUGAGUCCAUAUCUUUUUUAAGCUCAGUUGGUGUUAGAAAGGGUAUUCAAAUUCAUCAAAUUUCACAUUCGAAAAUGUACCUAAUUAGAAAUAAAUGGGUAUUUAAAAUUAAAAGGAAAUCUGAUGGCUUUGUGGAGAGAUACAAAGCUAGACUUGGACUUGUAGCUAAGGGGUUUAAUCAAGAAGAAGGAAUUGAUUUUAAUGCUACAUAUAGUCCAACAGUGAAGGUAUCUACAGUUUGUGGACCCCAUUCUUUUGAAAGUUUUCAUGUACAGUAUAUCCACUGAGCUUCCAGUGUCCACCAUGAGCUAGUGACGGUGGAGGUAGGUACUAUGUCAGCUUUGAUGACCAAGGGAUCUUCGUGCGGUGCAAUGACUUUUUCCAAAUCUUCGCUAUUGAAAGUUAUGGAUUCAUCCUCUACCUUUCUCUUUCCUUUUGAAGUGGAAAUUGAUAUUACCUCCUGGGUGUAGCUCUUGCUUUCACCCACAGAUCCUUUGUCAAAAAUAACAUCAACUAACUUCUUUUCUUGGAGUUCACUAUCACUGUUGCUCGGGGACUCUUUUUGAAGCCUUUUUCUCGUGAGAUCUUCUAGUGCGGAAUUUUUCUGGAUGUAUUCCUUAAAAUUUCCUUUCUUUAUCAGAUUCUUUAAGACGGCACUCAAUACCAUGCAGUGUUCAGUGAGAUAACCAUGAUCACCGUGGAAAUUACAGAACUGAUUUUUGGCAUUUUUUUAUUCUUCAUUAGUCUUCCUCAUUGGGCAAGGGGUGGUAAACCUGUACUGGACUUUGAUUUUCUCAUACAACUCUUUCUUUCCAAUGUCUAAUGGAGUGUAGUUAUUAUCUCUGUAAUGAGUAGCUCCUCGGGAGGCACUUGUUCUGGGCCUCCUUUUUCCAGAUUUCUUGCCUGCUUUUUCAGUCUGAAAAAACUUUCUUCACACCAGUAGAGGUUUCCACGUGUUUUAGGGGUGGAAGUCCCCUCCUUUGCCUUUUUCCCGAACGUGGCUAUUUUCGAAAAAGGCAUUAUCAGCUUGAAGAAUUCCUCCUCUUCCAUCUAGAUGAAGGCAUUAUCUCUUCACAUCAUGCAUGUGAUAGAGGAAACUUUGUUGUUCGAUAAGUAGACUACUAAUAGCGAUAAAUGGUUUAUGUAAUAACCUGAAUUUUCUUGAUUUAAAUCUUAAUAGAGUUAUUCCCCAAUUUUAAUUUAACAAACAAAUCAAGAUCCAUAUGCCCGAAUGGCUUACACAACAAAAAUCAAAGUACUAGCGAAAACCAAAUAGACCCUUUAUUUAACUAAUAUCCUAGGAUCUCAUUCAUGUGUGAAACCCUCUGUCCAGUCCAUUCCCAACCGUUCCUUAUUAUGCAAUAAAAUGUCAUUUACAUGGGUAAGUUUCAAAAACUUAGUACAUGAAUAUAUAAUGAAUAUUAUAGUUCAUGAAUUUCUUUUGGGGCGUAUCAACCAUCCUUGGUUACUAAUAGAGGUUCUUACGAACCCCCCCUUUUUCCUUUACAUGGGUCAUCGGUCGAGUAAAUUCUCAUCAUGUCGUCACACCUCGUCGGGUCAUGUAGCCUCGUCAUGCCCGUUUAUUCCAUGUGUCGUCAAAUCCCUAAGGAUUCGUAAUUUCAUAUGAUUUGGGUAUGAGUGAGAGGUGAGAUUAAGUGAUCCGCUCAAUCCAAAUCUUGGUCCGUAACCUUGGUGGAUCUUCAGUGAAUAGAGAGGAGAUUGGAUUAAAUGUCGCUCUAGAGACUUGCUCGAUCUUGUCCUUUCGCCGUUCACCCUUAAAUUCCUAAUUUCAAGGUUUGGAUUCCUUUAGGAUUUAACCUGGUGGUGGAUGGGAAAAUUUAACCCGUCCUUUUCAUUGUCCACUCCUAAAUUCAUCUGAAUUUAGGAUUAGGAUUUUUUAGGUUUCAUUGAUUUUCCUUUUACACUUGUUAUUAUUACAUCCAAAGAAAACUCAAAAAUUGAAAUAAAACCUGAAAUAUCAUUUAAAUCCUCGAGUAAUGUAACGGUUCGCAUUAGUAAAAAAAUCAAACUUUUAAAUCAACUAGGUUUGAGUUUAAUUUGCCUCUUGUUUGUUUAACUUAAACCUUAAAAACAAAACAUAGACCUUUAAAAUUUACUCGACCACCACCCUAGGAUGGACUAUUGGUCUAUGGAGUUGAGGCUUAACCUCAUACGACCAGCCCAAAUAUUCAGACCCAUCUCUUGAUUUUAUUGGUUAAAUUCGAUCAUGUGGAAAUCCCAUUUGGGUGUCUAAGGCUUAAGCAUGAGCUUCUAGCCUUAGGGUAGCGUAAAUCCUGAACUUAGAACCUUGUGAAACCCAGUCAACUUGUUCAUAAGGAUUUUGCUGUCUAGUAAAAAUAAAUUAAAGAACAUAAAAUCAGAAACCAACAAACUCAAGAAUAGCAAAAAAACCUAGGGUAUCAUUUAAACAAGGAAAAGAAAUCUAUUUCCUCUAUUAUCUAGCAAGAUAAAAUACAGAAAUCUCAAAAUAGAAAAUAGAAUAACUCAAAAUGGAAAGAUCUGAAAUGUUAUUUAAAUCAUCAAGGAAUAACCUUAAUUUCUUUUGUUAUCCAACGAGAAAUACCAGAGCAUCAAUAACAUAAAACUGAAAAAAGAGAAAAACUCAAUAAUUAACAAGAAAACUCGAAUGUCAUUAAAUUUUCAAAAGAAGAAAAUAUUAACUUCCCUUGAACCUAAAAAACAAUCAAACAACAAAUUUGUUGUACGAAAUCAGACCUUUAAUCACCCAAUGAAGAUACAACACAUAAACAAAAAUAAGUCAUCACUACAAAAAAAAGGACCUUGUAUGACGACCUUUAGAUGGCGGAUUGCAUAUCCUUACAUCAUUAUGAAGGCAAUUGCAUAUAUCCUUACAUCAUUUCAUUUCAUUUUCAAUAACAAAAAUUACGUCCUUUGAUUUUAGGGGGCAUGUCGUCCUAAUCGACUAUGCCAAAUAUUGUCUGUGACAACAUGAUUAGUUAAAGAUAUCUUCUUUAAUUUGUAAAAAACAUCCAUACUCAAAAUAUAAACGCCUUCCUUGGCCUCACCCUGCCCAAUCAGUCUGUGGCUGAUCUGGUCCUGUAUUUUGCACGUAUUCGCAUCAAAAGAAAUGUUAAAUUUAUUCAUUUGAGUCAAUUUACCAAUUGAAAUUAAAUUAACGGUAAAUGAUGGUGUGUAAAAUACUUCUUUCAAAAGAAAAGUUGGUGAUAUUUGAACAUGAUCUCUAACAUAUUCGACAAAAUAUCUAGUUCCAUUUGGAAUUCUAACACAAUUGCCUUCAUAAUUCUUCCUUAGAUUUUUAAAUAAGGAUUUAACUCCUGAAAUAUGGUAUGAGGCUCCUGAAUCCAAGAUUCAAUGCCUCUUAUUAUCUAUCCAAUUAACUGAAUUUGCUUGUUUCAAAUUCGGAUUUUUUAAUAAUUUAUUUCUUAAUUCAUAAUUAGAAUAUAAAUAAGCAAUUCCAUAACAGUGGUCAGGUGUCUUAGCACCAAACAUGGUCUGCAAAAUCUUUAUUUCAUCAUUAGUAAAACCUAUACUUCCACCUUUGUUGCAGUAUUGGCUUCUCCGAUUUCCCUUUCUCUUUUUCUCCUCUGCCAUCUUUAAAUUUGUAGGAAGUUAGAUAUCCAUGCAACUUGUAGCAAGUAUCCUUCACAUGACCGUGCCUCUCGCAGUGAUCACAGUACAUACUAGUGUCUAGUUUCUUCCCCGACCUACUAUAUAAAGAGUAAGGUUUGUCAUCUUUCUUCCUAGAUGAUUCCUCUUUUGUAAACUCCUUUUUAUAGUUUUUGUCUUGAGCAUAGAAAUUGUUGUCCCUUCAGUCGAUUUCCUGUUAGUAACAUUUAUCUGCUUUUCUUCUUGAAAAAUCAGAUUAUAUGUCUUUCCCAAUGUUGGUAACUCUCCAGAUGAGAGUAUCUGACCUUUGAUCGGUAUAUAAUUUUCAUUAAGACCCAAAAGGAAUUGGAUCACCAUGUCCUCAUUUUCACAAUCUGUGAGCCUUUUAUUGAUCUGACAUGUACAUCCACCACAACUGCAAGCAAUUUUCUCAACACACAGUUCAAUUAACGAUCCCAUACAUCAUACUUCAAUUUCUGAAAAUAGACACUCACUGUAUUGUUCUCUUUACACAUAUUCAGCAAGUCGUACCAUGCACAUCUAGAAAAUUUAAGGCGUGUUUGCUUACAUGUCCUUCAGAUCAUUCCAAGCCACGGCUGCAUGCUACACCAGUGAAUAACAAAGUGGUAGCGAUUUCCAACUCUACUGAGUUGUAUAUCCAAGACAAAAUUAAGUCGUUACAGGUCUCCCAAGAAUCUCUAACAUCCUUUCCCUUUUCUGGACGUGGGAUAUCCCCAGUGACGAAACCUAAUUUUCUUCUCGAGACAAGAGCAACUCUCAUGGCACAAUGCCAUGUAUAAAAAAUUCUCUUCCCGUUUCAAUUUCUUCGACACUAAACAAGCACCGGGAGCAUCUGAGGAAUGGACGUAAUACAAACUUGCUUGAUCUUGGCUUAAAUCAAGGCCAUCCUGCUUUACCAUAAUAUUCUUCAUAUCAUCUCCUAUAACAGGUUCCUUGUUCUCCAUACUGUAAAUCUUGAUCGUCGGUCCUGAAUCAGACUCGGCUCUGAUACCAUGAAAAGCUACACCCUCCGACGAACUCUCCGGUAGAACGCGAUCUAUCUUCGAUGUAACCGGUAGAGUUGGAGUGGAGGUGUAGGGUUUGAUAGAAUUGUGAAAAGAGGAAGAGGAUGUGAAGAUUUCAAGAGAACAAAAAUGAUUAUUUUAUUUGGAGGAAUAUUAAAUUCCCUUUUAUAGUCUUUACAUUUACUAAAUCAACCUUGGGCUUUUAGCCCAUUACAUACAUUACAUCUACUAUAUAAUAUACAUAAGUCAAUUGAAAAUUCGACAUAACCUAUCUAUUUUUCCAUUUUCAAAUAAUCUGUUGUACCUGUGAUUUAAAACAUUCUACAUAAAAUAUAUUCAUUAAUUCAAUUUUAGCAUUCACUUAAACAUUCACAUGUAUUUCUUUAAUAUUUAUCAAAAUAUGUCGAUUAUCUAAACAAAGUAACCGGGGAUUUUGGUCUGAGACGGAAAAAUUUCUUCUUCAGGUAUGAAAAUCAUCCCCGUACCCUUACCUGACCAGGUAUGAAAAUCAAUGCUUAAUUACUAUUAGAAACUAACUCAAUACUUAAUUACUAAUUAUUUGAGUAAUUUGGUACUGUAAUUAAUUUUAUUCUCGAUUUCUCAUCCCAAUUUUUUUUUUUAAUGGCGAUUUAUAUUAAAAGUAAAAUAAAAGGAAUUACAAUCUACGAUAUUAAGAAAGAUAGACGAAUAAUUAAACAACUAAAAGUACGAUAGGAUGUGUGGAAUAGGUAUAACUUGUUAAUCCUCGGUUUGUAGGUCAGUAACCAAUAGCGAGGCUUCCUCCCACCUUCUGAUAGCUGUGUCCUCCAAACUUAACCUAUGCGCUUUUUUAAAUAUGCGAUAAUCAUAGAUAAUAGCCAAAUCUCGUAUAAAAUCCCUUGCCACGACUUUUACCGGUCGAGAGAGCCCCUCCUUGUAUCGUAGGUUCCUCUCCCUCCAAAGGUGCCAUAUAAACGCUGCAAGUGCAUUCCAAUGUAGCCCCCAGCAUGGUGCUGACUUCCUGAAUUUGGAUAUCCCCUCCAUGAUAUCACCCACCCUUAUAUCUCCUAGCUUUAUUUCCGUGAUACCCAUAAGUUUCCAUAGUGCGUUAUCUGUCAACCUUAUAAAUUCGUUCCAAAGAGACCAGCUGAAUUCGCAAUUGAAGAAUAAAUGAGCUGUCGUUUCCUCAACUGUGUCACAUAGGACACACUUUGCUGGAACCACUAUCCCCCACGACCUCAAUUUAUCGAAUGUUCUUAGCUUGCCCCAUCUUAGUCUCCAUAGACAGAAGGCCAUCUUUGAGGUACGGCAUGUCCACACUCCUAUAGCCAGAGGAUCAACGACGGCUGGCGGUGAUAGUUUUGCUCUUAAGAGGCUCGUUUUUAUACUACCGUUGACUGUGCAAUCCAGCCCUGCAGGGUAGCAUAAAUUGAUAUCAUCUUUGGCUCUCAGUAUGCUUGUCCAUAUCGGAGAGUCCUUGGAACAUAAUUGGAUUUCCGCCAAAUCUCUCCCUUUGAGAUAGCGUGCCCGCAUCCAAACCGCCCAUGGAGAACCCCCAUUCCAGAUUCUAUAAGCCCAUUUGACCCUAGCAACUCUAGCGAGUAACACCGGAUCCGCCAGUCCUAGGCCCCCGUCUUCCUUAGCCAUAAUCAUUCUGUUCCAUGCCAUACCUUUAGAGUCCCCCCAUAUAAACUGAUAAAUAAUUUGUCGUGCUUUUUUGAUCACCGUCAUGGGAAUUUUGAGACAUUGAAACCAGUAUUGUAGCUUGCCCACUAGGACCCAGUUAGCUAGCUGAACUUUUCCUCCAUAAGACAGAGCUCUAUUUUUCCAUUUCUGUAGAUACGAAUUUAGUUGGUCGAUUAGCGGAACGCAGUCCGCACCUUUUACGUCCCGCCCAAUUAGAGGCACCCCUAGGUAUUUAAGUGGUAAAAAGCUUUCCUGAAACCCCAUCAACUGCAAUAGGUCAUCCUUGAUCUGCUCACAUGAGAUGGAGAAUAUCAUCGAACUCUUGGAACAAUUAAUUUCCAAUCCUGAAUUCUUUGUAAAAUCAUCCAGCACUGCUUUAACUGCCCUCAUCGAUUUGGUAUUUGCCUUUGCAAAGCAUAGCACAUCGUCAGCAAAAAUGAGGUGCGUUGGAGAGAUAGCUCCCCCCAUAACGAAGGUAUCCAAUUCUCCACAUAUUUCAACAAGAUGCAAAGAUUGCGAAAGGUUCUCCAUAACUAGAUUGAAGAGGAUCGGUGAAAGUGGGUCUCCUUGCCGAAGUCCUCUUCCACUACUAAAUUGCGUUGAAGGUUCCCCCUCGAUAAGGAUGGAAAAGGUCGCAGUCGAGAUACACUGAGUGAUUAGUCUGACCAGUGCCCCUGAGAAACCCAUACUGACCAGAGUUAUGCGAAUCGCUUCCCAACUAAUUGAGUCGAAUGCUUUAGUGAUAUCAAGGCUUAUACACACUCGUCUAGCUGUUGCCUUCUGUUUAAAUCCUCUUAACAAUUCCUCCGCAAGGAGGACAUUAUCAGAGAUGAUUCUACCCUUUGUGAAAGCCGCUUGAUUGUCUGAAAGUAGCUCUGGAGUAACUAGCCCAAUCCUGUUUGCUAAUAAUUUAGAUAUGAUCUUAUAAAUUGUGUUUACCCCAGAGAUGGGUCUGAAAUCUCGAAUAUGCGAGGCCUCUGGAAAUUUAGGAAUGAUAGUGAUGAAUGUAUGGUUGAUGUGCUUUAAGGAACCACGUCCGUCGAAGAAAUCCUCUAUAAGCGUCAUCACAUCUCUCUUAAUAAUACCCCAGUAUCUUUUGAAAAAUCCUGCCGUAAACCCAUCGGGUCCUGGUGCUUUUUCCGGACACAGGCUAGAGAUCACUUCCCACACCUCCUUCUCCACUGGCCUCCGCGCCAUCCAAAAAUUCAUCUCCUCUGCCACUAGUUUCGGGAACCAUCUCAAAGGGAUUUCGGUGCUACUAUUCAAAGGUUGUUUCUCACGAAACAACUCUUUAAAAUAAGUAAUUCCUUCCUUUUCCAAUUGAUUCCUUGUAACUAAUGGAUUUCCUUGAUCAUCUAAGUUACACAACAUCGAAUUCCUCAGGCUCCGGUCCUUGGUUUUUUGGCUAAAAAAUCUAGUGUUAGAAUCACCCAACUUCAGCCAAUUCACUCUUGAACAUUGCCUGAGCUCUAUCUCCUCCCUUUNNNNNNNNNNNNNNNNNNNNNNNNNNNNNNNNNNNNNNNNNNNNNNNNNNNNNNNNNNNNNNNNNNNNNNNNNNNNNNNNNNNNNNNNNNNNNNNNNNNNNNNNNNNNNNNNNNNNNNNNNNNNNNNNNNNNNNNNNNNNNNNNNNNNNNNNNNNNNNNNNNNNNNNNNNNNNNNNNNNNNNNNNNNNNNNNNNNNNNNNNNNNNNNNNNNNNNNNNNNNNNNNNNNNNNNNNNNNNNNNNNNNNNNNNNNNNNNNNNNNNNNNNNNNNNNNNNNNNNNNNNNNNNNNNNNNNNNNNNNNNNNNNNNNNNNNNNNNNNNNNNNNNNNNNNNNNNNNNNNNNNNNNNNNNNNNNNNNNNNNNNNNNNNNNNNNNNNNNNNNNNNNNNNNNNNNNNNNNNNNNNNNNNNNNNNNNNNNNNNNNNNNNNNNNNNNNNNNNNNNNNNNNNNNNNNNNNNNNNNNNNNNNNNNNNNNNNNNNNNNNNNNNNNNNNNNNNNNNNNNNNNNNNNNNNNNNNNNNNNNNNNNNNNNNNNNNNNNNNNNNNNNNNNNNNNNNNNNNNCUUGUCCUCUUCUUUCGGAGGCACAGAUGACCUCAUUAAAAUCCCCUAAAAUUAUCCAUUUUUCAUGGUGGACUGUCGGGUAAAUUUUAAUUAGAUCCCCCAAAGUAGCUUUCUUUCCGCGGGCGUAUUUCGACCGUAGACAAACGAAAUGUAGAGAGUUAAACCAGCUCUAUUGGAAAACUUGAAAUGCAUCAGUUGCUUAGUGACGAGUAAUGGGCUUCCCAUCCAUAUCCUUGGGUUCCAAAAAAUCCAUAUCCAAUCACCUUUAUCAGGUUCCCAUGCAUUAGAAUUAGAUAACUGAGCCCACGUAUCUUUGAAAAACUCAGCUGCUUUGCCUUGAUUACUUUUCCUGAUUCGUGUCUCCAGGAUUCCGACAAUUUCCAAUCUUUUUCUAGCCAUUAGUGACAAAACCUUCCUUUUCUUUUUCUUUCUAUUGAACCCCUUCACAUUCCACACGAAAAGAGCCAUCUCGGUUCUUAGACGGCCCUGGUGGAAGUUAAGCGAGUUUAAUGACCAGCAGCACCGGCUCGAGGAGCCUCUUGCGCUGCCUGUGAGACUAAGAAUUGAGUGAUUUGAUGCUUCCAUAAUAGGCCCGGAUUUGGGUUUGGAUUAUCAACCGUCAUAAUCGCGGGAAUUGGGAGCCCAUCCACAAUUUCAGCUAUUGUAGGAGGAGAACAAUCCAGUAGUGGGCUUAGACCUUGUGGACUAACGUUCAGAUCUAUGUCUCUAAUUUGGCUCACAACAUGAUUUAAUCUUAAUGCCGAGUCCACAGAACUCUCCGAGCCCUCCUCUUCUUCCUCCAGAGCAUUCAUGAUCGGGACAUUGACUUCCUCUAUGUGCACUGCAACCUCAUUAGUUGAAUUCAACCUUCUCUCCCUCCUCAUCUGCUUCUGCCUCUGCCUUCUUCUUAAUCUAGCAGCCCUUCUUUUCUAUGUCCUCGUAGUCCUCUGGGUUUCAGACUCUGAGUUUUCUUUUUGUUCAGAUGCUACAGGGGAUUCGAUGAAAAUAGCUCUCCUUCUACGAGUGUUAACCCCCGCUGUUGAGAUACUUGGAGGUGGGUUUGAAUGACCAGAUUCUUGAUUAUUGUUAGCCUCCACCGUCAAGGGUACUCAGAGACAAGCUUCAGUUGUAUGACCGUAGCCCUCACACCGUUUACACGAGGGGGGAACGGAUGGAUACCUCACUACAACUUCCUCCGUCACUUGACCGUUCUGGCCUUGUAUUAUAAUUAUCGUACUUUCGGGAAAUUUAAAGGCAGCAUCCACUACCACCACUAGCUGGAUAUAAUUGUCUGAUCAUCUCUGAUCGCAAAUCUUCCAUUUAGAGGUGUGCCUAGUGUGCUAGCGAUUCUAGCGAUGAUUCCCGUAUUCCAGAACUUCUCAUUCAGCACAGGUAGGUUGACCCAUAUCGGAAUCGUCGGUAGGGCCUCAGUUUUGGAAUCCAAUGAUGGUUUCGAUUCUUGAACCAGCAUAAUCUCCGAUUCCAUCCAGAGUCAUUCCUCCUUAAGGACUCUCCUAUAAUCUCUUUCGUUCUGAAUCGUAACUUUAAACCCAGUCCCUUCCAGUACCAUCACUUUAUAAUCUCUGACCUCCAUCAAUCCCCAUUUUUUUGUUACGAAGUCCUUCAGUUUGGCAAGUGAAGGAUUUACUCCUAUCACCCUCAGUAAAAUUGUAAAUUUAUUCGUAACUUCUUCCAAUUGUGAUUCUUCAAUCCUNNNNNNNNNNNNNNNNNNNNNNNNNNNNNNNNNNNNNNNNNNNNNNNNNNNNNNNNNNNNNNNNNNNNNNNNNNNNNNNNNNNNNNNNNNNNNNNNNNNNUGCAUUCCUCAUAUCCCAAAAUUAUAAUCCAACGAUAGUUGGGCCCCGCUUCCGAUGUGUCGCUCCCUCCCUAGCUACUCUACCGACACCCCGCUACUCGAGCACUCCUUCUAGAGGAGCACCCGUAGAACUGACGGAUGGCGGCGAUUAACUAGAGAAAGCCGAACGAAGAUCGCUAACGCUCAUUUCUCCGUUGACCUAUUUUUUAGGAGCUACGUCUUUUAUUUUGGUCGGUCACUCCACUCUAUCCUUCCUGCUAUCACCCCGUUACCCAAGCACCCCACGCAAUACGCGGGACACCCCCAGAACUGACGGAUGAUAGUGGUUAGAUAGAGAUAGGCACUAAAGAUCGCAGAACGCUCAUUUCUCUAAUGCUUAUCGGAUAGUUCCGGACGAAGACAGUGAAGAGCACCAAAAUCCGUUCCCUUCUCAAUCGUAACGAUAACCUCGCUUAGUAGGGAUAAUAUUUGAUUAAUUAGUUUCACCACUCAAUAUUCAAUCCAAAUCUUCAAUCCAAGUGUUUUAAUUAAUAUCACCACUUGAUAAAUCCCCAAAAACUACUCGCCGAAUUGUCGUGAUUAAAGUCCCUCUAACUCGCCGAUUCCGCAGUGAAUGAGUUCACUUCCAACUCGCCGAUUCCUCUGUGAAAGACUCAACUCGCCGAUUUAAAGUGAGCCGAUUCCAACUCGCCGAUUUAAAAUGAGCCGAUUCCAACUCGCCGAUUUAAAAUUCCCCAAUCGACGAUCACACAGAUUGUGAGUAGAUUUUAAAUGAGUACAGUAGUGUAUAUUUAGAGUGGUUAUUCACUCCCAAUAGAUUCUUUCCCGCCGAAUUAAUACAGGGAUCGCCGAUACCCUACCCCACUCGCCGAUAGCCCUCCCACACUCGCCGAUAGACCACCCAACUCGCCGAUAUAAGAAUGGGGAUCCCUUACGGAAUCGACCCUACUCUGUCUGGGCGGUUGGAAGGGUUCUCGAACUCUCUCUCGCUGAGUCUCCUUUCCACUCGCCGAUCCCAAAUUUGGGGAUCCCUUGUGGGAUCAACCCUAAUCUGUCUUGGCGGCAGGGGGAGAUUCUCGUUGGCCGGAGGUCAGUGAAAGGAAGGUGAGCUCGCGGAUGACCGGAUGACUAACGAUCGGAAAGCGUAGCGCUCGCGUCUCUCUGUCGGAGAUUCCAAAACGCUUGUGUCGUUCGCGGAGAUUCAAAACACUCACAGAUGGCGGAGGUUCACAACGGCGGCGUGCUCGCGUCUCUCUGUCGGAGGCGUGCUCGCACUCACAGCGGAGGCGUGCUCACUCUCACGAGCAGAGGUUUCGCAGAAACUCGCGCUCCCGUUUGUUCCCGUCGCGCUCCCGUAAAAGAUCACCAGAUUGUUCCCGUCGCGCUCCCUAUCAAGCGAGUAUCCCUUAAACCCUACUUCUGCUUCUUCCUAUGGAGUCCAGGUUGUUAACUUAGUUUUCACAAAAAUAAUUCUCAUCCCAAUUUUUAUUUUCUUCUUCUUUUCCAACAGUAUAAUUAAGUAAUUCCAUCUCAAUGAAAUUGAAAAAUUAAUGCUCUUACCUAGGUAAAAUAAAUCUGUCUUUUGGAAUAAAUGUCACCCACCAGAAACCUUUAAUAUUUAUUGUUGCACCGAUAUUCUCCAAUGAAUUAAAUAAUGCAUUUGUCUCUUCAAUUCUUAAAAAUUAAAUUUCUAAACAAUAAUACAGAUUCAAAAUGAGCAGACAGAUCAUCCCAUUCACUUUGUCUGAAAUCUAUUUUAUUGAUGAACAGAUUCCACUGCUCUUUUUAUUGACCCUAUUAAAGACUUUGAAAUAAGACAGAAACUAUGAAUCUACCUCUCUUUUCCUGUUUUAUAUGUAUCACUGAUAUUGACAUAUCAAUUUAUUAAUUUCUCAGCAUUAAUUACUGUCUUCUUCCACCUCCUCCUCCUCUUAUUCUACUACUAUAUCAUCCUUGAAUAUAUCUCUAAUUCUUCACAGGACCCCAUGAAGAAAAGAAGAGGGAAGAAGAAAGAUGUUUGAUCAAUGUUAGUUAAGGAAAUGUCACUUCAGAAGAAUCCAGACAAUAUAAUAUAGAUAUAGAUAUAGAUAGGAUCCAGAUUAACUUCUUUCCAUUCAAUCCAGAUCUUUCUUUUAUCUGACUGUGUGGUGUGUUUAUUAAUUCCUAUACUUUGCAUAAUCCAAAUUUUGUAUUUGAAAUUCCAUAAAAAUCUCAUUCCAAACAUGAGUAUAUUAAUACUGAACAAAAAAUCUAUUUAUAGAAAACACAGAUAUGAACUUUUAUGAGAAGUAUGGUUUUAAUCAGAGGUGAGAAUUCUAUCUGUAUGAUAACUGAUGGUUCUGAUGUAAGGUUGAACAGUGGAAGGAAGUAAAGGAUGUAUGUAUGUAAGUUUCUGACAUAUAUUGAUCAGUAAUUAGUAUUAUUUUGUUUAUUUGUAACUCUUCUUCUUCUUCUUCUGUAAACUCAAGGUACAGUUCUCUCUUUCUAUUUCUGUGUUCAAUUCAGAUCUCUGAUAUUGGGUAUUUCUGAACUAGUGCAGUUGUACUUGUCUUCUAAUUAUCUAUUUUUUGCAUCCAUUAUGUUGAGAAAUUUAUAGAAACCAAAUAUGGCAGUUUUAUCAGUUAUAUUCUACCUUAUAAUAUGAGUAUAUGACCCAAUCUAGAUUGAGACUAAAAGCAGUUUAAAUGAUUAAUUUAACCUCAAUGGAAGCUUAUAUAUAUAUAUAUAUAUAUAUUUGAUUUUUGAUUUUUGUUUGAAUUGAAAUGAGUGUAAAUAUUUUAAUCACAAAAAAAAUUAAUCUUCAAGAAAUGAAAGAUAAUUUAUUUUAAGGAAAGAAAUCAUAUUAGUUAUUUCUGAUUUAAAAAACAAAAAUCAGUUAAUAUUUCAAUCUGAAAUCAAAAUCAAAAUCAAAAUCAAAAUCAAAAAUAAAAAUGAUAUAUAUGUAAUAUGCAUUGCAUGUCUGGUGACAGUGUCACAGUGUCGGUGUGUAUGUCUGUGUAGUUUCACCUACAACUAUCACCAUCUUUAAAUUUCCCAAACCCUACUCCAUUUAUUCCCUCUCUAAUAACAAUUAACAAACCAUCCACCCUCUUCUUUCGCACAUACAUUGUUAAGAUCAAUGAGCUUUGUCCUUUGUUCUUUUCACAGACACUGUGAGGUUGAGAUAAGAAGCACACAGAGAGAGAUGGAAAACUAAGAGAUCUGAGGAGAAGAAGAAGUAACCCUACUAAUCGAUCUACUGUUUUCUGUAAGUCCUAUCUACUCUCUACCUAGAUUUGAUUUGAUCUGAUCUGAUCUUCUCCAUUUUUCAAUAAAAAUCUCUCCUUUUUUUGAAGAUUUGAUUCUCCAUCUUCUGGUGUAAUAUAUUUAUUGAUUUAUUAGACAGAUAAUUCGUUAUUUGAGGAAGAAGGAGAAAGGAAGAGGAUGAUGAGAUCGUCUGCUUCCUCAGUCACAUCGUCGUCUUCAAUAUCCACAGCAUCGGCGUUCACAUCUUCAUCAUCUUCAACCUCCUCUCCAUCCCCGACUUCUCCAUGCGCCGCCUGCAAGUUUCUGCGCAGGAAAUGCCACCCAGACUGCGUUUUCGCUCCAUACUUUCCGCCGGAUAACCCCCAGAAGUUCGCCCAUGUACACAAAGUCUUCGGAGCAAGCAACGUAACCAAGCUUCUGAACGAGCUCAGUCCUUACCAACGCGAAGAUGCAGUCAACUCUCUCGCUUAUGAGGCAGACAUGCGUCUCCGCGAUCCGAUCUACGGCUGCGUCGGAGUCAUAUCCAUCCUCGAGCAACAGCUUCGGCAACUCCAGAUCGACCUUGCAAGAGCCAAAUACGAGCUCUCCAAGUACCAAACCGCCGCAGCAACGCCUGGUGUCGAUUUCUUCGGGUUAGGUCGGAAUAAUUACGAAACGGCGGAGAUCGGUAGUGGGAAUUUCGGAUUUCAGUUUCAGAAGCCAUCUACAACCACCGGAGUCAUCGACGAAAAGCAAAACUUCCGACCAUCUUUGAAUUAAUUUAUUAUUUAAAUCGCUUCUUCUUCCACCACCACCAUGCAGAACUACUAUAACUCUGCAUGGUAUCAUUAAUGGUAUCAGUAUGUAAGGAUGGAUUCGAUAGCUAAUAACUACUAGCUACAUUACAUAGCUUCUCAGAUCGAUGUCUUUUUAUAUAUAGGGUUUAAUUUAGGGUUCUAAACUCUUUAUUACUAUGCUAUAUAUGUAUAUAUAUCUACGGAUCGGAGGAUCUUCCUAAUUUUGCGGUGGUCGUAGAUCGCUAAGUAUUUAUUUAUUUAUAAACGGUCAGUUAGGUGUAGGUGUACGAUCUAAUAAAGUUAUAGAAUGCGAAAGAGAGCUUGAAGCCUUAAAAUUAAUACAGGGUUUAUUCAUAUUAGGAAUAAAAUAUAAUUGGAUUAUUUUGUAAAAUUUCAUUGAUUUUUUCAUUUAUAGAUAAAAUAUAAUUUGUAUUCGUAUUCGUUUUCAAAUUCGAAUAUGUCUAUUCGAAUUCGGAUUUCGGAAUCAGAUAUUAAAAAUGAUAUCUGAAAAUUAUUCGAAUAAAUAUAAAUUGAUAUUCGAAUAUCCAGAUUUUAAUUAAGAUGAUUAAUUGACUAUUAAUUAAAUUUAUUAGAGGUGAUUUUAUAAUUUUAUUUUAAAUUUUUUUAAGGUUUUUAUAAAAAGUUAUCUGAAUUUUUAUAUAUCUGAAAAUUUAUCCGAGUGCAUAUUCAGAUUUUUCGGAUUCGUGUUAGAAUUACGUAACAAGUUAUUAAAGUGACAUCACCAUGAAAUAGGUUGUUAAAAUUGUUAAAGAGUUGAUUCAGAAUAACAUUCAUUACGUUUUACACAAUACAACUAUUCCUUCCCGUAUACCCUUCUUCUUCUUCUUCAUUGGAACUAUUGUAACCAACUAAAUACUAGAAAGCUAGAAAGUUGUUAAUAAUCGAAUAUGUUAUAAUAUAAGACAGAUUCACAAACUUGUACAUAAACACAAUCAUAAGAUCAUUCGAUUCUUAGCAUCCUCCUCCUCUGAGCUCCGAUCAUCUCUCUCACUCGGUUACCUUCAAAAGCAGGAGGGGUAUCUCUGUUUUGAUCUUAAAGCUCGUCGGUUAUACUCGUCAACAGAUGUUGUUUUCUUGGAGAACGAUUUUUCACUAUAUAAAAUAUUGUGGAAGGGUGAAUAUGAAAAUUUUUCAGAACAAGUUGAUAUAAUCCCAGCACCAAUUAUUCUUCCGGAUCUCAACUCAUCUGAUCUUCAUUCAAGUGGGAAUCAUCCAGACCAUCAUUUGGACCAUCAUUCGGAAAGUCAUCCGGGUGUGAACCAAUCUCCGGAGAUCGACCCAAUAACACAAAAUGCACCAGGUCAAGAUCGUGAUCCAGGAUUGGAAGAUUCCCAAUCAAAUGAUCCAAGUACCUCAGCAGAUGACAUCACAAAUUCACAUAUGGAGUCAAAUAAAUCAACAAAUGACAUCACAACUUCAAUCGACGACGAGUCACCGGAGGAAAUAGACCAGUUCGGAAAUGAAAAUCAAGAACGUAUGAUAACAAGGGAAGCAAGAGGAAUUGUUAAACCAAAUCCUCAAUACGCAUUGGUAGUGGCAACUAUAAACAUAUUCAUCCCAAGAUCGGUGAGGUUAGCAUUGUGUCAUCCCAAGUGGAAGGUGGCUUUGGAAGAUGAGUUCCACCCACGUGUUGAAGAAAAACAACACGUCAUUAAUUCCACGAGGAAGUAGAGACAAUGUGAUCAACACCAAGUGGAACUUCAAAGUGAAACAAAAAGAAGAUGGAUCGCUGUUGGUGUGUGUGCUCGCCGGUGUAAGCCCACAACCUCAACUCUCCAGUGUUUACUCUCUCAGAAUUGUCAACCCCUUCCCCAGUUGGACCAAGGGAGGUAUUUAUAGCCUUCACUUGUUGUCAUUGGGCCUCGUGGGUUCGCACGGUCGGGCCCGUCCGUCCAUUCGUCCCCCCGCCCAUCCGUCCGUCUGGGCCGGCUGGUCCGGUUCGGUCCAUGGGCCGCGGUCCAUGGUACCAACAGAUCGGUUGAUAGAUUUAAAGCUCAAUGGAUCGCGAACGGGCUCUGGCAAAUUGAAGGCCACGACCACACACAGGCAUUCAGUCUGAUGGUUCAAGCAAAUUCGAUAUGAAUAGUUCUAUUAAUAGCUGUAACAAAUGAUUAGGAGCUUCACCAAAUUGACAUAACCAACACCUUCCUUCAUGGAGGGUUUGACGAACGAAUCAUUGUGUCUCAACCAGCAGGAUUUGAAGACCGAGAUCAUCCGGAUUACGUGUGCCUUCUAAACAAAUCGCUAUACGGGUUUAAACAGUCACCAAGGAUGUGGUAUAAACGAUUAUGGAAAUUUUUGAUAAAACUCGAAUUUAAAGAAAGUUACACCGACUCAUCGUUAUUCAUCAUGAUUAAAGAAGGAGAGACCAUGUUACUAUUUGCAUACGUUGAUGACAUUGUUCUUACGGGAUCAUCCAAACUCUUGGUAAAAGAAAUAAUCAAGAAAUUGGGAAACGAAUUUACAGUUAAAGAUCUAGGAGUGCUGAAUUUUUUUUUAGGAGUUCAAGUACGAAGAACAGAAGAUGCAAUUUGUCUGUCACAAUAAUAAUACUUUAUUAAUUUACUAAGUAGUUGCAACAUCACAAAUCUUAAGCCAUCGGUCACCCCAAUGGUGCCACAUCAAGACCUACGAUCCAAGAAAGAACCAAUACCAGACGGAAAGGAGUUUCGACGAGUAGUGGGAUCAUUACAAUACUUAACACUAACUCGUCCAGAUAUACAAUUCGCUGUUAAUAAACUUGCACAAUUCGACAGCACUCCGACUCCUUUACAUCACACCGCAUUAAAGAAGGUACUACGAUAUCUGUCAGGAACGCAAAAUUUCGGGGUAACAUUUCGGAAAGCAAAAGAUUUUGCAAUCACCGGGUAUUGCGACGUCGAUUGGAGGGGCGAUACAAUGGACCGCAAAAGCCAAACCGGAAUGCUCAUAUAUCGGAAAUACGUUAAUCUCAUGGUCAUCAAAAAAGCAAACAACAUUGGCUCGCUCAAGUACCGAAGCCGAAUAUCGUGCGAUCGCAUCUACGGUAGAAGAAGCAGAAGGUGUCUUCAAUGUAAUCAGGAAAUUGGGAAGAAGAAGCAAGUUGCGAUCCUUUAUUUGAUUUAGGAGUUUCUUAUUUAUACAAGUCCUAUCUAGUUUAUUGUUUAACAAACUAACUAUUUUAGUUAUUUAUUUCUUUAGUAACUAAUAUAUGAAAUCAUUAGUAUAAUUCUAAUAGGCCCCCUCAAUCUUGUCGGUGUGGACUGACGAGAUUGUCUCUGAGCUCUAGAAAUCCAGAUGAUCGAAGUGCUUUUGUCAACGUAUCAGCUCUUUGAAAUUUGUUUGAGAUGUGGACUACUGAUAAGGUUUUCUUUUCUACCCUUUCCCUGACGAAUCUGAAAUCUAGCGCAGCAUGCUUGAUUUUGGUGUGAUAUACUGGGUUCGCCGUUAGUUGGGUUGCACCCAGAUUGUCACUUCAUAAUUCAUACGGUUUCUUGAUUUCAAUUCCUAAUUCAUGCAACAGUGACACUACCCAUUCAAUUUCUGCCGUUGUCGAUGUUAUAGCCUUAAAUUCAGACUCCGUGCUCGAUCUUGACACCGUGCUUUGUUUCUUCGAAGACCAUGUUAUCAAUGAUUCCCCGAUAUAGACCAUGUAUCCCGUGUGACUUCGACGAUCAAACGUGUCCGAAACCCAAUAUUCCGCAUCGCAAUAUGCCGAUAUGUUGAAGUUUUGCGAUUUCUUCAAUAUGAUCCCCAUUUCUUGCGUUCCAGCCAAGUACCACAUCAUUCGUUUCAAUGCGUUCCAGUGAAUAUCGAGUGGCUUUUCCAUGAACUGAGCUAAUUUGCAUACUCCGAAUGCAAUGUCCGGCCUCGACAAAGUAAGAUAUUGAAGAGAUCCCACAAUCUUUCUAUAUUCGGUGGGAUUCUCCAAUAUCUUGCCUUCUCAUCGUAAAUCAAUAUUUGCUUCUAUCGGGGUCAUCGCAGGUCGCAUAUUGUCAAAUUUACACCUUUUUAUCAAAUUAGUUAGAUAGAGUUGUUGAUCAAGAAAUAGACCAUCAUCUCGAUCCCUCACUCUUAUGCCCAGAAAAUAAUGAGUUUUCCCAGUGAUCUAACUGCAAAUUCCAAUGACAAUUCAUUCAAACAUUGUUUCACCUUUGUUGGGCUUGAUCCUGUAAUGACCAUAUCGUCUACGUAGACGAGAAUAUAGGUCGUUUUUUCAUCAUGCCGUAUGAACAAAGAUGCGUCUGAUUCGCUUGCACGGAAUCCCAUUGUGUGCAGAAAAUCCUUGAGGCGCCUAAACAACAUUCGUGAAGAUUGUUUAAGCCCAUACAAUGAUCUUUUCAACAAGCAUACGUGAUUCGGUUUCCGUUCAUCUAUGAAUCCUAUUGGUUGCCGCAUUAGGAUUCUUUCAUCAAGUUUGCCAUGCAAAAAUGCGUUACUUAUGUCGAUAUGUAGCAUGUCCCAAUUCUUUGAUGUAGCUAUCGUCAAAACUACGCGAAUCGUUACCACUUUUACAACUGGGUUGAAUGUUUUGUUAUAGUCUCUCCCCUCGAUUUGAGACAUUCCGUUCGCCACCAAUCUCGCCUUCAAUCGUUCGACCGUGCCAUCUGAUUUUUCUUUAACCUUGAAUAAUCAUAAGUUGUUGAUGACAUUAUCGCCUGCUGUCCUUGGCACCAAUUCCCAAGUUUGAUUCUUCAUUAAGGCAUCGUAUUCUUCUUGCAUUGCCGCUUUCCACUCUGGAUUCUGUAGUGCAACUUUCACCGAUGUGGGUGCUAUCUUUUGAGAUGUUGUCAUGGUAAGUGCAUAUCGUGGAUUCGGUUUGAUGAUGUCAUUCGCCUUUCUGGUAAUAGGUCGAUAUUGAUCGGACGGAAUGACCCCUUCAUCUUCCGAAUUAGCUAGUCGAAUAUCUUCGAAUGGAACAACCAACUCGUUUUCCGAAUCGGAUGGAAUGACCUCCCCCUCCCCAUCCCCCAUAUCUGUCGAUUGUUGAUUGUUUUCAUCAGGAUUUGAUUUUUGACUCGAAUAGUUCAAUUUCUGUCCAAUUUUGACAGAUUGAUCUUCCCGAUUCUGAUUUUCAUACUCAUCGUCUUUCUUUCCUACUAUGAAUACAUCUUCAAUGAAUUUGACAUCUCUAGAUACAACAAUCCUCCCAUCAUUAGGACUCAUGCAUAUGUAUCCAUCGGAGUUAGCCAAAUAACUCAUGAACAAGAACGGUGCCGAUUUAUCUUCUAACUUGUUACUUCUGUAUGCACGUAAGUUAGGAAAACACUUUGAUCCAAAAACUCGAAGUUUCCCGUAUUCUGGUAAUCGCUUGUACAAUGCUUCAUACGGUGAUCGGUGUUCUAAUAUGGCCGUGGGAUUUCUAUUAUAUAGGUAUACAGCAGCCAUAAAAGCAUAGUCCUAAUACGUUGUAGCUAUUCCGGCGUGCUUUAACAAAGCUAGCCCAGUGUCAACUAUGUGCUGGUGCCUGCGUUCUACCUUUGCCAUUUGAGGAUGUGUAUGAGGACAACUUAAUCUGUGAAUAAUCCCAUUCUGUCGCAGCAUUUCUGUGAGUUUAAGAAAUUCUUUUGCGUUGUCGUUUUGAAUAGAUUUGAUAGAUCUUCCGAAUUAUUUUUCAACCAAUACUUUGAAUUCCAAGAAACAUUUACUGACCUCACUCUUUCUUUUUAGAAGAUAUACCCAAUUAAAAUUCGUAGCAGCAUCUACAAAAUUUAAGUAAUAUCGAUAUCCUUCAAUCGAGCUUUCCGGGGCCGGUCCCCAUAUAUCGGUAAAAAUCAACUCUAAUGGAUCGGAAUAUACAGUUUUUCUGAAAAUAUGUUGCAAUUUAUGACUUUUAUUUAUACAACAUUCAUCACAAGUUUUAUUAAGAUGAUCUAUAUCUGAAAUUUUGAUUAUUCUCUUUCUAUGAAGAUUCUCCUUUGCACGAGCAUGUAAGUGUCCUAGGCGUAAAUGCCAUGUCCUUGCAUCAGCAUUCAGUCCUUCGUUCACCUGAUUAGCCUGCAUUACAGAUCGCAUCAUAAUGGGUAAUUUAUACAACCCAUUACUUUCUUUGCCAACGAAUAAUAUCUUCUUUGAUUCCAGAUCUUUCACCUUCACGGUCUGAGAAUUAAAUUCAAUCGAAACCUCAUUAUCACUACAAAACUUCUUCACAGAUAAUAAGUUUUUAGUUGCAGUUGGGACUAAUAACAAUUCAUCAAGAACAAAAUUUCUGUUAUUUGAAGAAAAUACUGAUAUACCCGUAUGUGUAAUGCUCAUUGGGCACCCAUCCGCGGUAUUGACCGAUCUAUUGCAAGCUUUUGCAUUUUGAAUGUUCGACUCUUCAUAAGUUAUAUGAUUUGUCGCUCCAGAGUAUGGAUACCAAACUGACGUUCCGGCCUCAUACGUCAUGUUCACGGAUGCCUUGCCCGCAGUCCCAGAAGGAGAUAAAGUCUUGUUAUGUUGUGGUGGAAAUUUUGAUAGAUUUAUUCUAUUAAAACAAUUUAAUGCAUUGUGUCCUUUCUUUGAACAAAUUUGACACAUCACCAGUUUACUAUUCUUUGAAUUCUUUUCAGAUUUAUCCGUGUUUUCGAUGACCACAUUGGCACUUAUGGGAUUCAACUGCCUAGAUCGCUGUUGUCGUACCUCCAUGUCAGUCAACAUAGCCUUCAGCAUUCUAUACGUAACUUCAUCAGGUCUUGAACUAACGUUCUAUAUCAGCGUUUCGUAUUCAUCUCCCAUUCCUGCUAGAACAAGAAUGACUAAUUCUGUAUCAUUAAUUAAUUUUCUCACCUGCAACCGCUAAUGCCUCCAGUAUAGUAUUGAUUUCAGCAAGAUAUUCUGAAAUUGAUUUGCCCCCUAAUUUCAGAUUUUGCAGCUUCUGUCGUAGGCUCAUUAUCUGCAAUCGUGAGUUGGAUGCAUAAUCCAUUUGAAGAUUUAACCAUACCUGAUGCGAUGUAUCACAGUUCGAAACAUCCGGGAGAACAGAUGCCGACAUCGACGAGAAUAACCAUCCAAGUAUUAUUUGAUCUUGUUUAAUCGCCGCCGGAGUAUCUAGCUUCACGUCUCCGGUGAGAUAUCCCAUCAGAUCAUAUCCUCGGAUAUUAGCCCCAAAUUGGGCUCUCCACGCAAAAUAGUUAUUGCGAUCUAGGGCUACAGUUUUGAAGUGCUUGGCCAUGAUGAUCUUUUCAGAUGCGUCGCCGCCGAGAGCUUGGUUUGCAGCCGGAACUCUCGUGUCAACACCUCCAGACGUCAUCGCGCAGCGAAUCUGAUGUUCGUCGAAGAUGAUGGAGAGCAUCUCCUAGGAUCGAAACGAUUAAUUCUUUCCAUGAUCUAGUUGGCGAAUGAUACCAUUUCAAUGUAAUCAGGAAAUUAGGAAGAAGAAGCAAGUUGCGAUCCUUUAUUUGAUUUAGGAGUUUCUUAUUUAUAUAAGUCCUAUCUAGUUUAUUGUUUAACAAACUAACUAUUUUAGUUAUUUAUUUCUUUAGUAACUAAUAUAUGAAAUCAUUAGUAUAGUUCUAAUAGGCGUCAAGUCACUAUUGCUAGAAUUGGGAAUCACCGUUCUAGGACCGAUUCGGGUACUCAGUGAUAACCAAGAAGCCGCAUUCAUCGCAAACAAUCCAGUAUGUCAUAGUAAGUUAAAACAUGUCGCAAUGGACCUACACUUUGUAAAAGAGAAAACGGAGGACAGAAGCUUAGCUGUCCAGCACAUUUCAGGGAAGAAUCAGAAAUCCGACAUCCUCACAAAAUCACUCAGACCAACACCGUUCACACAACUUCGGAAUGAACUGGUUGAAGCAAUUCCACUCAGUUCGAGGGGGCGUAUUGUAACCAACUAAAUACUAGAAAGUUGUUACUAAUCGAAUCUGUUAUAAUAUAAAACAGAUUCACAAACUUGUAUAUAAACACCAUCAUACCAUGAAUAAAGAUCAUUCGAUUCUUAGAAUCCUCCUCCUCUGAGCUCCGAUCAUCUCUCUCACAUUCCCUGUUUUGAUAGUAACCUUCUCGCCAGAGAGGUUACAUUUUUUACAUAUGGUAUCAAAUUCUUCAAUUUAUGAAUCUUCCGCAGAAGCUCUGAUGGUCAAGUCCGCGACUUCUCCGUCACCGAAGAUCAUCUUGAAACACAUCCGAUGUGUUAUGUUGGAAAAAGACCAACUAUUAUUCGUGGGAGGCUCUAUUUUCGUCCAUGUUGCGUGGAUUCGAUAUCAUGGACUACGGUCGAAAGGAACGUCGACCUCUCUUUUUGCUAAACAACAGGAUCAGUUGAUCCUCUCUUGGAUAUUUACUAGAAUCUUCACGUCGAUCUUGCCACAGGUAGCCUCUUUUCGAACUUCUGUCGGAGUAUGGAAUGAUCUGCAAAAGCUAUAUGCGUCCUCCUCUCAAGUACACCAACUCCAUCUUCGCCUGUAGCUACCGGAAAGGCGAUAUGUCCAUGGAAGAUUUCAUCACAAAAGUCUCUAUUCUCAAGGAUGCAUUAGCUGCUACCGGCGAGGGCCUUAAAGAAUCUGAAAUUAUUUUGAUCACGUUGGGCGCACUUGGGGACGAAUAUGAAUCUUUUGUUACAUCCAUCACAACGAGAUAAGACCCUUCCAUGACCUUUGCCACAAUCUGCGAAUUGCUCAAGGAUCAGGAGCUUCGUCUUCUCAAGAAGGGUGAGAUCUCAUUAUCGGUUAAUACGGCUGUGAGAUCAAGACAAGGCAAGCCCGGUGGUUCGGCUAACUUCAAGUCGGUUCAACCUAUCUAUUGCCAAAUUUGUGAACGGAAGGAUCAUUCUGCCCUAAACUACCACAAUCGACUCAACGUUACCUGAUUCACACCGCAGCACAAUCGCGAGCUUACACCCAUUGGCAUCAAGGGUACCAACCGAACAUCCACAUGGUUAACACGGGUGAAAUAUCAUUGUGAUACCCCAACUCGGGGGCCACCUCAUAAAUCACCUCAUCUUCAAGCAAUAUACAGCAGCCUCGUUCAUUUACUGGUAACACUUGCAUACUCACUGCCGACGACAAUCCUCUGGCCAUCAAUUCUAUUAGUCAUAGUAUUCUUGAAACCUCGUUAAACACUUUCAUUGUGAAAGAUCUUCUUCACGAUCCUUCCGCAAUCAGAAACCUACUCUCUAUUAAUCGUUUCUGUUUUGAUAAUAAUCUGUCUCUCGUAUUUGAUGCACAGAAGGUUCAGGCUAAAAUUCCACAGACCAGUGAAGUGGUGCUUGAAGGACAUGCGAGGGGGGCCUCUAUGAACUACCAAUGGCAGUCAAGCAUUCUGGAGCUGUGCUUAGUUGUACACAAUCUCAUUCUGUAUGGCAUUUACAUUUAGGACACUUAAAUUUUUCUUGUAUGGACAUUUUGUUUCGGAAAGGGUUAAUAAAUUCUUCUUUCUCAAAAUCUAUGACUUUGUGUGAAUCCUGUCAGUGUGGCGAGUCUCACGCGGCUCCAUAUAAUUCUCGGAAAAUGUCAUAUGUACCCCUCGCACUCAUUUUUAUUGACAAUUGGGGCCUCACCUGUCCGCUCGUUUCAAGGAUAUUCCUAUUAUGUAAAUUUCAUGGAUGUCGGAACCAACUUUAAUUGGAUCUUCCCAAUUUCGCGAAAAUCAGAUGUUUAUGUUGUCUUUGAUCGAUUUCACAGAUGGGCUAAGUGGUACUCUGGCAGAAAGAUCCUGGUUGUAAACAUACAACACAUUGGAAUUCCGAAAACUUGGUCGGCGAUUAAUAGAGCUUGGGAUUUCACACCACUUCUCAAUACCGUAUUCCCAUCAGCAGAUGGGCCAUGUGAAGCGCCGACAUCGGCACAUUGUCGAUACGAAUAUAACUAUGUUAAAACAGACUAAUCUCCCACCAUCAAUGUGGGAUUUUGGGGUCGUUACAACUUGUUAUCUUUAUAAUAGGAAUCCUUCUCCUAUCUUAUAUGACCGGUCUCCGUAUGAAACAUUAUUCGGCAGAAUACCGGAAUAUGCGAAGUUGAGAGUGUUUGGGUCUCGCUGCUACCCUUGCCUUCGUCCCUAUCGAGCACAUAAGCUUGAUGCAAAAUCCAAAGCUUGCGUCUUCAUAGGAUAUUCACAGGAAAAUGAUGCAUAUUUAUGUCUUGAACUAACAUCUCACCGUCUCUUCUCAUCUCGUGAUGUUAUGUUUGAUGAAAUGAAUUUCUCUUUAAAUACAAUUUUCCACAGGGACUCGUCAUGCAAAGAUACUCAAGAAAUUGGGGAAGGGUUUUCAACUGAAUUUCUAACGUUGAAACCCGAGUUAACUAGCCCCGUUCAGAAUGAUACAGGUACAACGGAAUCCGACUCUAUUCGGGUUACAGAUUCGGAUCAUCUUUCGAUACCCGACAACCAAUCUACGAAUCUUGAUGUUCUUGUUGUGGAAAGUUACCAUGGAAAAUGAAGUCAAGGCAUUACAUGACAAUGUCACCUGGUCUUUGGUUCCACGAAAAUAAAAAGAUAAUGUAAUUACGACAAAAUGGGUAUUCAAGGUGAAAGCUAAAUAUGAUGGUUCAAUUGACAGAUAUAAGGCUCAUCUUAUAGCGAAUGGAAUGAAGCAGGUUCAUGACGUGGAUUAUUUGAACACUUUCAGCCCCGUCGUUCAUCUUCUAUCCAUUCGAUUGGUAUUGGCAUUGGCAGUUUCAAAUAAUUGGUCGAUACAUCAAAUUGAUGUAUCAAAUGCGUUUCUUCACGGGAGAUUAGAGGAACAAAUUGUCGUGGCUCAACCUCUGGGUUUCUAUGAUAAAAACUCUCUGAAUCAUAUGUCUUUACUCCACAAAGUACUGUAUGACCUCAAGCAAAGUCCACGCUGCUAGUUCCAUCGACUAUGUGAAGUUCUUCACAGUUUCGGUCUGCAUGAGUCAAAGAUUGAUUCAUCAGUGUUCAUUGCAACCAAGGAUGCUCGACAAAUUCACCUAUGCGUCUACGUCGACGACAUCAUCAUUGCAGCACCCGAUGAAAAUGAAAUCGAAAAGUUAUUGGCAAGGAUGACAUAUGAAUUCUCAAUCAAGGAUCUGGGGGAGCUCCGUUAUUUUCUUGGGAUACAAGUAUCCAAGAUACAAACAAGCCUACAUCUUUCACAGACGCAAUACCUCUACAAUUUACUGCGUUCUUUCGACUUUGAAAAUCUCAAGCCCUCUGUGACUUCUAUGAUGGCUAAUCUAGAUCUUCGACCUCAAAGAAACCCAAUAGUCAACGCGAAAGAAUAUCGAAGGAUUGUCGGGUUCCCUUCAAUAUAUGACUCUCACACGUCCAGAUAUUCAAUUUACGGUGAAUCGUCUUUUCUCAGUUCAUGGUAUCCAUAGAGGAGGUUCACUAGGUCGCAAUGAAGAAAGUACUUCGCUUCCUGUCCGGUACACCUAAUCAUGGCAUCAUUUUUAGGAAGAUGAACGGAAGGGGCAUCACGGCAUUUUGUGACGCAGAUUGGGGGGGGAUACGGUCGACAGAAAAAGAAGAACGGGGUUUCUUAUAUAUGUCGAAGGGACACUUGUGUCAUGGCUCUCUCGAAAGAAACCUACCGUCGCUCGUUCAAAAACCGAGGCAGAGUAUCGGGCAAUCGUGGCCGCGGCGACUCAAGAACUUGAAACAGUCAAGGGCAUGUUAGAAGAACUAGGAGUGCAGGUACCUUCUCUAAAAAUCUACACGGACAACCUUGGUGCCUCUUUCAUCGCACGUAAUCCUAUUUGGCAUAUUAAACUCAAAUACGUUGCACUCGACCUCCACUUCGUCCGUGAACGAACUGAGAAAGGUGAGCUUAUUGUAAAGCAUAUUCCAGGUACUAAUCAGUGGGCAGACAUACUGACCAAAGCACUGGCACCAUCAGCAUUUCUUCGUCUUCAACGUCACCUUAUCGGUGUAACUCUGUCAGCUUAAGGAGGGGGAAUGUUAGAGUUACGUAUCCAAUUAUGUAACCACGACGUAUCCAGUUACGAUUUACGUAGGUUGUUAAGAUUGUUAAGGAGUUGGUUACGUUGAAACUACUCAUGAUAAUAUUCAUUACGUUUUACACAAUACAACUUCUUCUUCUUAUCCGCUUCUUCUUCAUCAUCGCACGGAUGCAUCUUUUACGUAAUUCGGAUUAUCCAGAUAUUAUCCGGAUUCAUAUUCGGAUACCAGAGUAUCCGAGUCUAAUCUGACCGAUAUACAGGCCUACUAGUAGUAUCUUGUCUUGUCACCUGUCAAAGUUUUUAUAAUUUAUUCAACAGCCUAUUCAAAUCAUCUCAAUCACUUGAUUAUUUACACAUCAUAAGACAUCUGUCUUCAUCCUCAAAUCCUUCCCUUCCCUUAAAUCCUGCUACUUCUCCGACUCCUAUAACCCAUCUUCCAACAACCUUUCCCUGACUCCAACACUAUAAAAAAAUGACAUUCACUACAAGAAAACAGGGAAACAGCCACGGCCAAGUUCACUGGCUAAAUGGCAAAAUCCGUGGCUAAAUUGAUUUAGCCACGGGAAUUAGCCACGGGAGUGGCCGUGGCUGUAGGUCUGGUGGCUACUAAUUUUUAGCCACGGAAUUGAUUUUCCGUGGCUAAUAUUAGCCACAGCCAUUUAUUUUAGCCACGGCCAAAGUCCGUGGCUAAUGUUAAAAAUUAGUCACGGUAAAAUCCGUGGCUAAUCUUAUUUUUCCGUGGCUAAAUAAAAUUUAGCCACGGAUUUUGGCCGUGGCUAAUACUUAAUUGGCCGUGGCUAAAUCCUUCAAACAGAGUGGAAAGUGAAGGGCCACGGCCAAAAUCCGUGGCUAAUCCCGUGGCUAAAUCCUUAAAUAAAUUUAGCCACGGAUUUUGGCCGUGGCUAAUCCUUAAUUGGCCGUGGCUAAAUCCUUCAAACAGAGUGGAAAGUGAAGGGUCACGGCCAAAAUCCGUGGCUAAAUGCCAAAAGGCCGUGGCUAAUUUCUAAAAAAAUUAUAGGAAAUAUUUACAUUUUAGAAGACGCCUAUUGAAGGUCUUACACAUUCAUAUAACCUAAAAAAAUCAAUCAAACAUAUAUUUACAUUCAUAUUCCAUUCAACCAAUCAUUCAACCAAUCAUUCAACCAAUCAAUAUCCCUAAAAAUUAUCCAAAACAUUCAACCAAUCAUUCCAAAACAUACCAUUCAAUUCCAUACCUAUUGUCAUUCCAAAACAUACCAUUCCAUUCCAAAACAUAUCAUUCAAUAACCAAUAAAACAUACCAUUCCAUUCCAAAACAUACCAUUCAAUAACCAAUAAAACAUACCAUUCCAUUCCAAAACAUACCAUUCAAUAACCAACAAAACAUACCAUUCAUACAAUUCAUGUUAUUCAAAACAAAACUAAAUCAAAAGAUAAAAGAAGAGGAACCUAUUUGUUGGUGUCAGUCACGCUAUUCGUCCCACUUUUAGUCGGACUUUGAGUCGCUUUUUUGUCUUGCACAUCCAAGGGCACUUUAUUCUUUCACAUCCAAGUUUUUCUCUUGCACAUUUCAAGAAAUGAGGGACGCCAUUGCCAAAUUCCACCGUUAGAUGACCUUUUGAAUCUUGCCGGUUAUACAUCCAAGUUCGAUCAUCAUCGGUCAUUCUAAAAUUUUAAACCAAUACAAUUAGUUUUUAAACCAAUACAAUUUUAAAGCUAAAUAUCCAAUAAAACAACAUGGGAAUUAAUCUAGCUUAAUUUACUAUAUAGAUAUUUUAAUGGAAUUUUAGAUAUUUUAUACUAUAUAGUUGACUAUCUAGGGUCUAUUUUCAUUUAGGAUGUCUAGAGUAUAUUUUGUGCUUCUGUAAAACAAACAAUCAGUUCUUAUAAACGAUAGAAAGUAUUUUGCACUAUUUUUCUUAAUUUUCAGGUCUAUCUCCAAUUCCAGAAGAAGAAAAAGUGCAAUAUGCUUAACACCGACAGGUCACAAAGAUGGAAGUCUACAAGGCAUUCUGAACUACCCUAUCAGGUCGCUUCCAAUUAAGCAUUUGGAACUGCCAUUAAUAGGGAGAGAACUUAGAUAUUCAUAUUGUUCAAGCCAUGGACAUUUGGCAACCUUUCAUUAAAUUCCAUGUGGUUACUACAUACUAGAAUCUAGAAAGAAAAAUAUACUCCUCAAACUCUCUAAGUUCUAACACUUCAUAUAAAGUUCUAUGUUGCUUUCAAAAUAAAAGUUUUAUAUUAUAGAAGAUGAUACAAUGAUUUAAUUUUACACAAAAAAUGCAAAAAAGACCAAAAAUUGAAAAAACAGCAAAGUAUAUGUAAAAUUAAAAACCUUUUUUUUAGCAGCUUGAAACAAGGACCUUACACGCCGAGCUCCAACUCCAACAAACCUAUGGUAGAAAAGUGAGCAACACACUAACAUUAUAUUCUGUUUGGGUUCAAACUUCAGAUUACAUUUCAAAUGCAUAUCUUUUCUUUUUUGAUAAUAUUAAAAUUUCAGUAAAAUGAAAGCACAGAUUACAAGAUUAGGAAUGAGAAAGUUCUCAUAGUCACUCACUCCUAAUAUAACUACAUCUAUAACAUUAUAUAAUCCAAUAAUGAUGCCUCAGAAGGUUGACUCCUAUGAGUUCAGCACAUUCUUCUCAAUCUGUGUUUGAAAGAGCUUUUAUUGGGAGGUAGAAUUGAAGAAUGUGCUCACAUUCCUUAGAACCUCUGUACUGAUCACUUGCACAAAAUCAUAACUAGAGAAUCAAGUUUCAUGUACUUGUGAGUUGUGACAAGUUUUAUAUUUGAUUGGGAAAAUUCAAUUAUCAAGUCCAAAAAGAAAAUAAAUAAAGAUUAGAAUUUUCACAAAUGUUAACACAGUUAAAAAGACAUUUAAAAAAACACCCAUCAGAGAGAGACGGACACAAUGCUAUUGAAAGGGAUCAAAUACGAUUAAGGAAAAAUACGUUCUAUUGUUGAACUGAAUGCUUAAAAUCGACUUACAACAACCGGGCGGCGAGAUCCCUUCUCUGAAAAACUCGCAGCCGACAACGAGAGGUGGUGGGAUAUAACUUCUACAGUCGAUGUUGAGAAUUCUACAGUAGAUUUGCUGCUGCUCUCCGCGUGACUUCUACAGUCCGAUCCGAACUCGGGGGAAUGAGAGGAACUCCUUUGCCGUUGGAAGGGAAUGGGGGGGGGAAUGAGGGGAACUCCUUUUUUCUGCCGUUGGGAGGGAAUGGGGGAGGGGUUUUGGGGUUUUCACGAUUUGGGGGUAUCUUUUAAUAAAUGAAGUUAUUAAAUAUUUUUAAUUUAAAAUAUCUUUUUAAAUAUCUUUCUAAUUUAAUAAAUAUUUUUUAUAUUUAAAUUAUUCACUAAAUUAAAAAGAAGUUAUUUGGAAUUUAUAACUUUCAAAUAACAUUUUAAUUUAAUUUUUCACUUUAAAAUUUUAAAUAUAAAAAAAA